GAGGAAAUCCACAAAGUGCGGGGUUGCCCUGGUAAAUAGACAGAUUAAUCAAGGUUUGAAACUGGUUGCCUGUUGGGAUUUUCCCUGACAAGUUAUUGUGUGACAGAUUCAGGUGAACCAAAAAGGUUAUGGAAGCCAUGCUCAUUGGAAUUGAACCAGAAAGUUUGUUUCUUGAUAGGUCGAGGAUCUCCAACCACUGCAAGUUUCCAAUCUUUUCUGGUAUAUUUCCCCCAAAAUUAUUGCUGGACAGAUUCAAGGUUCCCAGUUUCAGAAGGCUUGUUAGUUCGAUAGGAAUCUCCCCUGAUAAGCUAUUAUUGGAAAGAACCAGACUAUUCACAGGGUAGAGAAUGUUAUAGUAUUCCAGUGCUCUUCAUUUAGUAACAAGUUUCAAGCGUCCCUCGUAUUGUGCCAUAUCUGUAUAUCAUCAUCUGAAAGUUCAGAUUUGAAGCCACUCAAGUUCCGGAGGAUUGAAUCCUGGCACAUUGUUGUGUGAGACGUCCAGUAUGUGAAGGGUGGAAAGGGCACAGAUUUCUGAAGGAAUAUUACCGCUGAAGAAGUUGGACCACAAGGCUAAAAUCAAGAGGGAUGGAAUGCUUUCUUCUAUCUAGGAUGGAAUGUUUCCAGAAAAUUUGUUAUCACCAAGAUCAAGGCUUUCCAAGGCACUGCAGUUUUGCAGCUGGGAAGGAAGUUCACCAGAGUGACUGUUGUUGGAUAGCGCCAAGAAUCUGAGUGCCGUGAGGGAAACCAUUGAUCUUGGUAUUAUACCUGAGAGGCUGUUGUUUGACAUACCUGCAAUAUACAGGGAAGGCAUCUCAUUCCAGAUCUGAGGAAUUUCUCCACAUAAAUUAUUUUUGGAGAUAACCAAGGUGAUCAAAGCCUGUAGAUUACCUAUAGACAAGGGAAUGCUGCCAUUCAGAGAGUUCCAAGAGAUAUCCAAAUCUGUCAGAAUGGGUAUUACUUCACCAAUGUUCCGAGGAAUUGGUCCAGAAAACAAAUUACUCCUCAAAUACAGUGUACUCACAUUAAAAUACUGUUGAUAUCAUGUCAACUGGGGAUGGAUUCCUCUCUCUGAGGUAGCAAUGAAAGCUCCCAUUCAGAUGUUGGAAUUUGGACUUCCUGUUUCCCUACACAAAGAUGUCUGGACAGGUUAUCCAGGCACACCCUUCGAAGCCCAAGUCAGAUGCUAGGAAGAAUGGAAACCCUUAGAGAGAGAGAUCAUAGAACUCACAGUGUCCUCUCAUUCUAUUAUAUUACAGUAGGGUUUUUAUAGUGUUCAAAGGUGGAGAGGGGCUCAGUAGUGCUGAGUUGGCCAUUGUAGUGAUGAUUGCGCAAUAGUGAUAAGGUAAUCAUCAUAUUUGCAGGACGACUGGGAGCUGUGUUAGACGACGCGUCAUGACAUAGCUUGCCGUUCUUUCAACCUUGCUGGUGACCUAAGACUUGAUGUGCCUGUCUACUGAAGUAGAUGUGAGGAUGGGAAAGGUCUCAUCAGUCAAUCUAGUGUCAGCUAACCAGGGCCUCACAUAUCAAACAAGAUUUGAGGCUAUUAGGGGGAAGCGGGCCGCUCAGUGGCUCAAAUGGUUUGGACAGAAUGUUCCCCUGGGUGCCUUGAAGGUUGUCUGAAUAGUGAUGAAGACUGUCACGUGGCCCAACUGGGAUAAUGCCACGUGGACAGACGUGUGGAUGUACUCGUGGGUGGACACGUGGGAUAAGGCCCCCACAAAUACCAAAGUGGGAGAGGACCAUCAAAGAGGUUUGAGCUCAAAUCAACAUUGGAUAUGUAGUUGAACACUAGUGAGUUUGGAACUUUGCCUCUUAAUUGAUUAUAAGCAAUGUUGAGUUCAUUGAGCUGCAUUAUUCAGCACCAUAGUGGUUAACUCUGUUGGAAACGUGCCUUAAGUUGCUACAGUUAUGGGCAAACAAAAAGUUGCUGAAUAAUUGGUCAAUAGACCAAGUUUUUAGGAAAUAUUUUCUGCACAUAUAUAUAUAUAUAUAUAUAUAUAUAUAUAUAUAUAUUUUGGCUUGAUAUUAGGAAUUGGUUAGACAUGGCUUGAAAUUAGCAAAUUCUCUUGACUUUCUGUUAUGUUUCAGCUCUAUAUAAAGAGCAAUGCAAUGAAUAAAACAUACUUCCAGAUACCAAGUUUUUUUUCUUUACUAAAAAAGUUUUGUUUUUCCUUUGCUGUCAUAAAAUUUCUGUCCUGUUCUUGUGUCAUAUAUCAACAAUUUGGUAUUAGAGCACUUCUUCUUGAGGGAUCUGUGAGUUGAGUGAAUCCAUAAAUGGAAGUUGAAACAACUUUCUCCCAUGUUGCACCACCGAUUUUUGAUAGUGAUAACUAUCAAGCUUGGGCUGUUAGAAUGACAGUCCAUCUUGAAGCAUUAGAUCUUUGGGAAGCUAUAAAGGAAGACUAUGAUGUUCCCUCAUUGCCGGAAAACCCUACGAUGACUCAGCUUAAGACCCACAAAGAGAGGAAGAUCAGGAAAUCCAAAGCUAAAGCCUACUUAUUCUAUGCUGUUUUAAGCACUAUAUUUACAAGAAUCAUGAACCUGGAGUCAGCAAAAGAUAUUUGGGACUACCUUAAAAAGGAAUACCAAUGCAAUGAAAGAACCAAAAAUAUGCAAGUACUCAACUUGAUCAGGGAGUUUGAAAUGCUGAAAAUGAAGGAGACAGAAACCAUCAAAGACUACUCUGACAAGUUGCUGGGUAUAGUAAACAAGGUGAGGUUGCUUGGUAAGGACUUCUCUGAUGAACGAAUUGUGCAAAAAAUUCUUGUAACUCUGCCUGAAAAGUAUGAGUCUAAAAUUUCCUCAUUAGAAGAAUCUAAGGAUUUGUCAAGCAUAUCCUUGGCAGAAUUGGUGAAUGCAUUGCAGACACAAGAGCAAAGGAGAAUGAUAAGAAAAGAAGAAUCGAUGGAGGGUGCUCUUCAAGAAAAGGCAUAAAAUUCAGGAGAAGGCAAAGAUAAGAAAAACAACAAUAAGAAGAAGAACAACAAGACUGACAGCAACAACAAAAACAAGGAUGGAACCUAUCCACCUUGCCCACACUGUAAAAAGACAAAUCACCCACAAAGGAAGUGCUGGUGGAGGCCUGAUGUCAAGUGCAGGAAAUGUGGUUAGAUUGGACACAUGGAGCGGAUUUGCAAGUCACAACAACAUGAAGAGGCAAAAGCUUCUACUGAGCAACAUCAAGAAGAACAACAACUUUUUGUUGCAACAUGCUUCACAACAAGUAACAGCUCUAGCGAUUCCUGGUUGAUUGAUAGUGGCUGCACAAACCACAUGACCAAUGACCAAGAGCUCUUUAAGGAGCUUGAUAAAAUUAUCAUCUCUAAAGUAAAAAUUGGAAAUUGUGAAUGUAUUUCAGUUAAGGGUAAAGGAACUGUGGCUAUAGAAAGCUUAACAGGUUUGAAGUAUAUUACUAAUGUUCUAUAUGUGCUUGACAUUGAUCAAAACCUACUUAGUGUUGGAUAGCUGAUUGAAAAAGGUUUCAAAGUCAUAUUUGAAGACAAAUGGUGCAUGAUCAAAGACGCAAAAGGUAGAGAUGUAUUCAAAGUGAAAAUGAGAGCAAAAAGCUUUGCUCUAAAUCUAAUGGAGGAUGAGCCAAUAGCAUUUUCAAGCACUGUAAGCAAUGCAGAAUUAUGGCACAGAAGGCUCAGGCAUUUCCACCAUGUUGGACUUCUUCUAUAUAUGCAGAAAUAGAAUUUGGUGAAAGGUGUGCCAUUGUUGGAAGACAAGCUAGCUGAUUGUGUAGCUUGUCAAUAUGACAAGCAAACUAGAAGACCAUUUCCUCAAACAGCAUGGAGAGCAAUGCACAAGCUGCAACUGAUACACACAAAUGUUGGAGGACCUCAGAAAACACCAUCUUUAAAUGGUAAUAAGUAUUACAUUGCAUUUAUUGAUGAUUAUACCAGAUUUUGUUGGAUUUAUUUCCUCAAAUCCAAAUAUGAGGUUGCUAAUGUAUUUUGGAAAUAUAAAGCAUGGGUGGAGAAUCAAAGCAGUUGCAGGAUGCAGAAGAUAAGGUCAGAUAAUGGGAAAGAAUACACAAAUGAAAUUUUUUAUAAGUUCUGUGAAGAAGCCGGUAUUGAGCACCAACUCACAAUACCUUACACUCCACAACAGAAUGGAGUAAGUGAGAGAAAAAAUCGAAGUAUUAUGGAGAUGACAAGGUGUAUGCUACAUGAGAAGGAGUUGCUAAAGAAAUUGUGGGUAGAGGCUGCAAACACUGCAGUUUUUUUGCUGAAUAGGCUGCCAACUAGAGUUUUGCAGAAAAAAACUCCAUUUGAAGCCUGGUUUGGUUAUAAACCAAAUUUGCAGAAUCUAAGAACUUUUGGUUGUCUAUGUUUUUCUUAUGUGCCAUAGGUAAAAAAAGACAAACUUGAUAAGAAGGUAGAACCAAGAGUUUUCAUUGGAUAUAACAACUCUUCCAAGGCUUACAAAAUUUUCCAACCACAAAAUGGAAAAAUUCUUGUAAGUAGAGAUGUCAAGUUCAUGGAGGAUAGACAAUGGAACUGGGAAGAGUCAAUAAAGAUGCAACUGCCAGAGGUUCUGCAAUACUUUGAUAAAGACAUAGAUGAUGUCCCGGUUAGAGGUACAAGGUCCUUAUCUGAUGUUUAUGAAAGAAACAAUGUUGCUGUUUUUGAGCCUACAGAAUUUGAAGAGGCAGAGAAGGAUGACAAGUGGAUUGAAGCAAUGAAAGAGGAACUUAGAAUGAUUGAAAAGAAUGACACCUGGGAGUUGGUGGACAGACCUCAACACAGAAAGGUCAUUGGAGUCAAAUGGGUUUAUAGAACCAAACUUAAUGCAGAUGGUUCUGUAAAUAAAUACAAAGUCAGAUUAGUUGUGAAGGGGUAUAGUCAAGUGUUUGGAGUGGAUUUCUUAGAAACUUUUGCUCCAGUAGCACGCUUGGAUACAAUCAGAAUGUUGCUUGCUUUGACAGCACAAAAGAGAUAGAAAACUUACUAGUUGGAUGUAAAAUCUGUUUUUUUAAAUGGUUAUCUUCAAGAGGAAAUUUAUGUAGAGCAGCCCAAGGGAUUCCAAGUCAAGGGACAGGAGGAGAAGGUCUGCUUGUUGAAGAAGGCCUUAUAUGGUCUUAAACAGGCUCCUAGGGCCUGGUACAGCAGGAUUGAUGAACAUCUUCAAAGUCUUGGAUUUGUUAAAAGUCCAAGUGAAGCUACAUUAUAUGUAAAAGGAACAGAUGCUAACUUGAUUGUAAUUUCUGUUUAUGUUGAUGAUCUGCUUGUAACAGGUAGCAAUGAGAAACUGGUAAAAGAGUUUAAAGCUGAAAUGCUCAAAGUAUUUGAGAUAACAGACCUUGGCUUGAUGUCCUACUUUCUGGGUAUGGAGGUGAAGCAAGAUCAGGAUGGAGUCUUCAUAAGCCAAAAGAAGUAUGCAAAGGAAAUGCUUAACAAAUUUCACAUGGAAGAUUGCAAAAGGACUAGCACACCAAUGAAUCAAAAGGAGAAAUUUAGCAAAGAUGAUGGAGCAAAAAAAGUGGAUGAAAGCCAAUAUAGGAGCCUGAUUGGUUGCUUGAUGUAUCUUACAGCCACUAGACCAGACAUAAUGUUUUCAGUAAGCUUGCUUUCAAGAUUCAUGCAUUGUGCCAAUGAAGUGCAUUUUCAAGCUGCCAAAAGGAUUGUAAGAUAUAUCAAGGGCACAACAAAUUAUGGCAUUAAAUAUUCUUAUUGUCAGAAUUUUGAACUUCAUGGUUAUUCUGAUAGUGAUUGGGCAGGUUCUAUUGAUGACAUGAUAAGUACAACAAGAUUUUGUUUCAGUUUUGGAUCUGGAAUUUUUUCAUGGUCCUCAAAGAAGCAAGAUGUGAUAGCUCAAAGUAUAGCAGAGACAGAAUAUGUAGCAGCCAAUGCUACUAUAAAUCAAGCAUUUUGGAUUAGAAAAAUACUUGCAGAUCUACACAUGAAACAAAAUGAGCCAACACAGAUUCAUGUAGAUAACCAAGUUGCAAUUGCAAUUUCAAGAUCAAGUUGUAUCACUUAAGAGAAGAACAAAAGGAUGGUGAAGUUAAACUGCUUUAUUGCAAGACUGAGGAUCAAAUUGCAGAUGUGUUAACCAAGGCUCUACCAAAAGCUAGAUUUGAAACCUUAAGAAGCAAAAUAGGCCUCUGCAACUACUAAGGCAAGGAGGAGUGUUGGAAACGUGCCUUAAGUUGCUACAGUUAUGGGCAAACAAAAAGUUGCUGAAUAAUUAGUCAAUAGACCAAGUCUUUAGGAAAUAUUUUCUGCAUAUAUAUAUAUAUAUAUAUAUAUAUAUAUAUAUAUAUAUAUAUAUAUAUAUAUAUAUAUAUAUUUGACUUGAUAUUAGGAAUUGGUUAGACAUGGCUUGAAAUUAGCAAAUUCUCUUGACUUUCUGUUAUGUUUCAACUCUAUAUAAAGAGCAAUGCAAUGAAUAAAACAUACUUCCAGAUACCAAGUUUUUUUUCUUUACUAAAAAAGUUUUGUUUUUUCUUUGCUGUCAUAAAAUUUCUGCCCUGUUCUUAUGUCAUAUAUCAACAAACUCAUUUUGAGUUCUAAGCCAGCUAGGAAAUUUGGGACCUAAUUGGCAAGAUCUAAGGUUGAUGUAUGUGAGUUUGAAAGGAGGAGCCCAGUCAGAGGAGAUGUUGAAAACCAAAGAAACAUUUGGAGAACUUUUAGUAAUCGACAAUUGCUUUAGGUUUGAGAGGUUGGCAAAGUGAGCUUUUGUUAUGACACCUUCCCAUGAAUUCUCAUUAAGCUCCAGCAUGACCAGCGAUGAGAGUUGUCCAAUGCUGUCUGGGAUGAUCCCACCCAUUUGAUUAUGAGAGAGGUACAAUACCUGUAAAGAUGAUAAGCUCCCAAUUGAUUCUGGAAUUGAACCGCAAAAUGAAUUAGACAGUAAUUGAAGAUAUCUUAAAUUCUUAAGAUGCCCCAAUGAAUCUUGUAGGUUUCCAGUCAGUUUAUUGUAUCCCAAAUCCAGAUUCUCUAAGGUGCUGUAAGAGCAUGCAAAUAAGCCAUCGAGGAACUCAGUUAUCUCACCAGAAAGUUUGUUAACAGAGGAUCAAUGUCCGCAAAUUGCACAAAUUUCCAAGUGUUCUUGGAAAUUCUCCUUCAAUGUUCGAAUUCUUGGACAAAUCAAGUAGUUGGAGAGAAGUGAAGUUCUGGAAUGCAUCUGGAAGUCCACCUUAGAGGUUGUUGGAGUUGAGAUUGACAGAAGUUGUGGAAUAAAGGCUGAAAAUUUCUUAUUAUUUUUCAGAAUGUGAAACACGUACAACUUAUAUAGGAAGAGAGGUGGAUAUUUACAUAAAGAGUCCUACUCCAAGUUUAACUAAAAGGAUAAACAUUCCUAUUCCUAGUUUAACUAAAAGGAUAAACAUUACAACUGAUAAACGUUUACAACAGAUAGAUAUUAUCACUUAACAUAUGGGCAUUAUCACUUAGUGGCUAAGCAUUAUCUUUUCUGUUAGAGAUCAAGGUACACAAGGCUACUGAGAUUAAAUAACCAGUGAGGAAUGGUGGAGUCAAACCCUUGAGAGAUCAAGAAGGGAAAGAGAAGUAAAAUUGAGAAAUGGAAGAGAAAGGGACAAGUUGGAAAGUUGACAGUUGGGCAAGUGCAACUCCAAAAGAGAAGGCAAAGUAUCUAGAGCCAGUAGGCUGCAGCCUUGCUGAGAUCAAAGAAGAAAGGCCUGACAGCCAUUCUUGUUUGGUUUGAUAGUGUGUGUUGAGAUCAAGGUAGUGCAAGUUUGAGAGGUUUGCAAUAUAUGGAGGGAUCAUACUACCAAAGGAUGCUCCAGAGAGAUUGAGAUAUCUCAACUUCCCAAGUGAUCCAAUGAAUUUUGGAAUUUCCAUUCCUUCAAAAUUAUUCAUGCUGAGGUCUAGAUAAUUCAGAUAUUUCAAAUGGAGCAAAGAAGGAUUGAUCUCACCACCCAACUCGCUAACUGUUCCAUCGCCCUCCAAACUGUUUGGGAAUGGGUUGCCAAGUUUGAGCUUGAUGAUGCUUCCAGUCCUGUUAUAGCAGCUAACUCCUCUCCAUUUACUAUAAUCUUCUCUGACCCAAGAUGACAGCCGACCUCAAGAAUCCGUGAGGCCUUGUUUGAAUUUGAGAAGUGCUUCCUUCUCAACUUCUAGGCAAUCCAUGUUCUGAUUGGCAUCGCAUGAGCUGAGUUUAAUUGUUCCUUGGGACAAAUAGUAGGAGUGAAAGAAAUUGAGUAAUGACAUUGCACAUGAUCAUGUUAUGAUCAAAGUGUAAGAGGAAGAGAGUUUCUCUUCUAUCCAACAGAAGGCUGAAUUAGUCUACUUACAGAACAAAUUAGGUGCUUGAGGGGAAGAUUUAGUUGGUUGAUGUGGUUAGGACAUUUGACCCCACAUGUUGAUAUUGAAAUGCUUUGCCCUUUUUGAGACGCUAGAAUGUGAACAUUUUUUUAUAGGUUAUGAUGUGAACAUUAGAAACUCUAUUAGGAAGUGUGACAAUACCUUGUUCCAAAAGGAGGAAGAACUUUGUGAUAUCCUCACCAGCUACUAUUCUACCGAACUUGAGAACUCUGUUCCCAUUUGACAUUAUCCUGACUGCUAUAGCCUAAAUUUUUACUCAGUGAUAGUGUUAGCUUCUCUAUACGCAUUAUGACUUGUGAUCUUGUCAACUGACAAACUACGACAGCCAGACUCCUGGCGGGGGUUGUUAGAGCCACAAUAGUAAAACUUAAUGGAGUAGGGAAUCUGAGCUGUUGAAGCGUUCCUGUCCUUAAUGAAAAUGUCUUGCCUUCUUUGUUUUGUAGUGUGGCCUCUUUGACACGCUAAUGUAACACUUGCUUUAAUAGGUCCAGAUGUGGACAUCAAAACUUUACUAGAACGUGUGACAAUGCCAAAGAUUUGGGGUAAUUGCAUUUGUUCUUAUAUAUAGAGCUUCACGGUAUACUACUUCAGCAACUCGCAUAGAAACAUGGCUACUACCAAUGCCUGUCUUCAACUUCUUUUUCUUGUCAUUAUGUCCUCGGGGUUUCUUUUCCAUGAAACCCUUAAACCAGGCUGCUGCCAUGGUGAUCACCAUAGGGCAGCCUCCAUUGACACUGAGAGGGUAGCUCUUCUCAAGUUCAAACAAGGCCUUACAGAUCCUUCUCAUCGACUCUCAUCUUGGGUAGGGGAAGACUGCUGCAAGUGGAGAGGCGUCGUCUGCAACAACAGGAGUGGACAUGUCAUCAAACUCAAUCUGCGUAGUCUUGAUGAUGAUGGAACAGAUGGCAAGUUGGGCGGUGAGAUAAGUCUUUCUUUGCUUGAUUUGAAAUAUCUGAAUCACUUAGACCUGAGCAUGAAUAAUUUUGAAGGGACUCGAAUCCCAAAGUUCAUUGGUUCACUGGAAAGGUUGAGAUAUCUCAAUCUCUCCUGUGCCUCCUUCAGUGGACCAAUUCCUCCACAACUUGGAAAUCUUUCCAGGUUAAUCUACCUUGACCUCAAGGAAUACUUUGAUUUCAACAGAUACCCUGAUGAGUCCAGCCAGAAUAAUCUUCAGUGGAUAUCUGGUCUUUCUUCUUUAAGACACCUUAAUUUAGAAGGAGUCAAUCUAAGUAGAGCUUCUGCUUAUUGGCUUCAUGCUGUUAGCAAGCUUCCUUCUCUUUCAGAGUUGCAUCUAUCUAGUUGUGGACUUUCUGUCCUCCCUCGUUCUCUCCCAUCUUCCAAUCUUACAUCCCUUUCAAUACUUGUUCUCUCCAACAAUGGUUUCAACUCCACAAUACCCCACUGGCUAUUCCAGCUGAGGAAUCUUGUGUACCUUGAUCUCAGCUUUAACAAUCUUCGAGGCUCAAUUUUAGAUGCAUUUGCAAACAGGACUUGUCUUGAAAGUUUAAGAAAGAUGGGUAGCCUCUGCAACUUGAAAACACUGAUCCUUUCUGAGAACGAUUUGAAUGGGGAAAUAACUGAAAUGAUAGAUGUUUUAUCUGGGUGCAACAAGUGUAGUUUAGAGAACCUGAAUCUGGGAUUGAAUGAACUGGGUGGUUUUCUUCCUUAUUCACUAGGAAACCUGUCCAACUUGCAGUCUGUUCUGCUUUGGGACAACUCGUUUGUAGGCUCAAUUCCGAAUUCAAUAGGAAACUUGUUGAAUUUGGAAGAGCUGUACCUCUCUAAUAAUCAAAUGAGUGGGACCAUUCCAGAAACACUUGGACAACUUAAUAAGUUGGUUGCGUUAGAUAUCUCUGAGAAUCCAUGGGAAGGUAUUCUAACAGAAGCCCAUUUGUCAAAUCUCAUAAACUUAAAGGAGUUGUCCAUCGCUAAAUUUUCGUUACUUCCAGACCUAACAUUGGUUAUCAAUAUCAGUUCUGAGUGGAUCCCCCCUUUUAAGCUCCAAUACCUUAAUCUGAGAUCAUGCCAAGUGGGUCCUAAAUUUCCAGUUUGGCUCAGAAACCAAAAUGAGCUUAACACUCUAAUACUCAGGAAUGCUCGAAUUUCAGACACCAUACCAGAGUGGUUUUGGAAGUUAGACUUGGAAUUGGAUCAACUGGACUUGGGCUAUAAUCAAUUAAGUGGCAGAACUCCAAACUCAUUAAAGUUCACUCUUCAAUCCUCGGUUUGUUUGAUCUGGAACCAUUUCAAUGGUUCUCUGCCCCUUUGGUCAUCAAAUGUGAGUAGCCUACUUUUGAGAAAUAAUUCAUUUUCUGGACCAAUCCCUCGGGAUAUCGGGGAAAGAAUGCCCAUGCUGACAGAGUUAGAUCUCUCUCAUAACUCUCUAAGUGGAACCCUUCCCGAGUCCAUUGGGGAACUAACUGGUUUAGUGACUCUGGAAAUGUCAAACAAUAGUUUGACUGGAGAAAUCCCUGCAUUGUGGAAUGGUGUUCCCAAUUUGGUGGCGCGUGUAGACCUGUCAAACAACAACUUAUCUGGUGAGCUGCCAACUUCUGUGGGUUCUCUGUCCUACCUUAUCUUUUUAAUGCUCAGCAACAAUCAUCUUUCUGGGGAACUUCCUUCUGCCUUGAAGAAUUGCACAAACAUCCGUACUCUUGAUCUCGGAGGCAACAGAUUUUCAGGAAAUAUUCCGGCAUGGAUUGGACAAACAAUGCCAAGUCUUUGGAUUCUACGACUACGAUCAAAUUUGUUUGAUGGGAGCAUUCCGUUACAACUUUGCACUCUUUCCUCUCUUCACAUAUUGGAUCUUGCACAAAAUAAUCUGUCAGGAUCUAUUCCCUCUUGCGUUGGGAAUUUGAGUGCUAUGGCAUCUGAAAUUGAAACAUACAGAUAUGAGGCCGAAUUGACGGUGUUGACAAAAGGAAGGGAAGAUUCAUAUAGAAACAUUCUCUAUCUUGUGAAUAGCAUCGACCUGUCUAACAAUGGCCUAUCUGGAGAUGUGCCCGGAGGGCUAACAGAUCUUUCAAGAUUAGGCACCUUGAACUUGUCUAUGAACCAUUUGACAGGAAAAAUACCAGACAACAUUGGGGACUUACAAUUGUUGGAAACUCUAGACCUCUCAAGAAAUCAGCUUUCCGGUCCAAUUCCACCAGGUAUGGCUUCUUUGACUCUCAUGAAUCACUUGAACCUGUCGUAUAACAACCUGUCAGGUAGAAUUCCAUCAGGCAACCAGCUGCAAACCCUGGAUGAUCCAUCAAUAUACUGGGACAACCCUGCACUAUGUGGGCGUCCAAUAACCGCUAAGUGUCCUGGUGAUGAUGAUGGAACCCCCAAUCGUCCCAGUGGAGAUGAUGAAGAUGACGAUGAAGAUGGAGCUGAGGCUGAAAUGAAGUGGUUCUACAUGAGCAUGGGAACAGGAUUUGUGGUGGGGUUUUGGGGAGUUUGUGGCACCUUAGUAGUGAAGGAGUCAUGGAGGCAUGCCUAUUUUAGGCUUGUGAAUGACAUCAAAGAGUGGCUGCUUCUAGUUAUUCAGCUGAAUGUAGCCCGUCUCCAAAGGAAACUGAAGUUGGGAAGAAGCCAGCAUCAUACUUGAACAACCUUCUGAAAUGAAUGAAUGCUUUGAUGUAGCCUAGCAGUUCAGCUUUGUGUGCAACCUUCUGACAUUAAGUUCCAGAAAUAAAUGAAUGCUUCUAUAUAGUUUAGCACUUCAGCUUCAUGUACAACGUUCUGAAAUAUGAAGUUUUCCUUCCAAGUUUUUUUAAUCCGCUUUGUCUCUUAUUUUUCUAUCUUUUGGUCACAAAUUCACACAAACACUUACAUAUAUACUCGGAGACUUGCCAAAAAUAAAUAAAUGAGUUAAUAAACAACGAAGGCCAUCUCCGAUUCCCAGCAUCUCUCAGCAUUGCUUUGUGUCCUAUCAUCUUUUCAACACAACUCUUCACAGGGAAGCAGAUUAUAUUUCAUAAUUAAAUUAAGGGUCUUAACAAUUUCUAAUCUUCAUUAAAUUUUUUAAAUUCAAUUUAAUUUGACUUUAAGUAUGAUUACUACUUUCAAAAAAUUUAAAUUUUAUAAAAAAAAAUCUAUAUUAAAAAUUCUAAUAAUAUUUUUUAAUUUUUUUAGAAAAAAUUAUCUUGAAUUCCUUUAAUAUAUUUAUUUUAAAAUUUUAAAACUAAUUUUAUUAAAAUAUGUUUUAUUAUAUUUUAAUUAAAAACAUUAAAUCAUUUCUUAGAUUUAUAUAAAAUAUUUUAUUUAAGAUUUAAUUUCUAUUAUUUUAUUAAAAAUUUGUGGUGAUAAUUAUAUGUUAUUACAACCAAUUUAUCUAAAUAAAUAAAAUUAUAUUAAUAAUUUAUCUUAUCAAAUUAAUUUAAAUUUAAAAUUAUAUUUUAUAAAAUAUUUAAAUGACAUUAAUUUUUUAUUUAUGUUUAAGUAAUUUUUUAAAUAGAUUUAUAUUUUAAAUAUUUUAAAACAAAAACAUUCAAAAUUAAAUAAAAUUAAAAGGAUAAAUAUAAAAGAAAAAAAAUUUAAAGUGAAGUGAUAGAAAUUUUUUGAAGUAGGGUUAAUGUGAUAAAUAUAAAAAACAAUUAAAAAUAAAAAGAUAAUAUAAAUUUAAAAUAAACAAUAAAUUAAAAAAAAAAAUGCCCACUGUCUGGGCAUUAUUUAAAUGAAGUAUCCAAAAUUUUAAUCAAUGAUUUAAGCUCUGCCCUUAGAUUAAAUAUUUAAUUCAGAUGAGGUUGGUUUAAAAACACACAAGCCUGAUCUUGGUUAUUGGAUAAAAAAAUUUUUUGGCAAAAAAUCAUCAUUUUUCAAGGAAAUUUUGGAAUAAAUUUAAAGUACACAAAAAAUUUAAAAAAAAUUGCCGACUCUCCAGGCAUUUAAAUUAUUUAAUUGAAGUAUCCAAAAUUUUAAUCCAUGAUUUAAGCUUCUCUCUUAGAUCAGACAUUUAAUUCAGAUGAGGCUUAAAAACACACAAGCCUGAUCUGGUCAUUGGAUCAAGUUGGAGGAAAAGAAGCAUGUAAAUAUGUCACAAAAUUUUGGGGAAAAAAUCGUUAUUUUUCAAGUUGGAGGAAAAGAAGCCUGUAGAUAUGUCACAAAUUUCUGGGGAAAAAAUCGUUAUUUUUCAAAGAAAUUUUGGAAUACAUUUAAAAUAAAUGAUAAAUUAAAAAAAAUAAAAAUUGCUCACUCUCUAGGCAUUAUUUAAACGAAGUAUCCAAAAUUUUAAUCCAUGAUUUAAGUUUGGGCCUUAGAUCAAACAUUUAGAUGAGGUUUAAAAACACACAAGCUUGGUCCUGGUCAUUGGAUCAAGAAUCUUUCAUUUCAACCCUUAAUUGGAGGAAAAGAAGCAUGUAGAUAUGUCACGGAUUUUUUUUUAGCAAAAAAUUGUCAUUUUUCAAAGAAAUUUUGGAGAUUUUUUGCUUCAUCCGCUUCAGUGAUUACUUCGAUCCAAGUCAAUAAAUUGGCAAUUCAAAAUUUCUCAUUUCCAUGCCAUUUUUUUGCUUCGACUGUCGUUAAUAUUCAUAUUUUGUUGAAAUGUCGGCAAAAUUUCAAACCUUGGUUGGGGUUAAAGCUUGCAUGACAAGUGGUAUCUAAGCUUAGCUCAACAUACAAGGGCUUUAUGUUUGUAUGGCAAUUUCUUUUCUGGCCCCAAUUCCUCUGGAGUUCGGUGAAAGAAUGCCCAUGCAUUCUUGGUAUUGCCAUGGGCUUCUAUACAAAAAUUGACCAAGGGCUUUAUGCUGUUCUUGGAGCAGCCUCCCUGAUGGCUGGUUCAAUGAGGAUGACUGUUUCCCUCUGUGUCAUAUUCCUUGAACUCACAAACAACCUCCUCUUACUACCCAUAACAAUGAUUGUGCUUCUAAUAGCCAAAAGUGUUGGUGAUUGCAUCAACCCAAGCAUUUAUGAGAUAAUACUGCAUCUCAAAGGCCUGCCUUUCUUGGAUGCGAAUCCUGAGCCAUGGAUGAGAAAUUUAAUUGUUGGGGAGCAUGCAUCAUGCCAAGCCACAAGUAGUUACCCCAUAGUGGAGUGGAAAAGCUAGCCCGCAUUGUCGAUGUCCUGAGAAACACCACGUGCAAUGGUUUCCCAGUUGUAGAUGAAGGGGGUGGAACCAUCUGUCGGUCUGGCCAUAGGGGCAACUGAACUGCAUGGAAUUUGGCCAAGAGCACACCUUGUUAAAGUGCUGAAGAAGAGGUUCCUGCGAGAGAGAAGGAGAACAGAGGAGUGGGAAGUGAGAGAGAAAUUUACCCAGCUAAAUCUUUUCUUUCUUUUUGGUUGCAUACAAUGAUAACAAUGGUCAUUCUUCAUUGGAAACUAUGCCAUAGGUUCAGUGCCUUCAAAUAUGCAAGGUCAUAUAGUACUAGAUGUUCUUAAUAACUACAGAAUGAUGCCAUUGUUCAUUCAAGAUGAUACUCCCAGCUACAAGAUGCAUCAUAUGUCUUCUAAAAAGAAAAGAAAGAAGGAAGAAUGUAUUACCUCUGGGUUCCAGGAAAAAAAUUAAAACCAUGGGCUUUAUCCAAAUGCCAUUCCUUACAGGACAACAAUGACUUACAAUCCUGUUUAAUAAUUUCUGUAUUAGAAGCUUGAGACAAUAAUUCAUGUUUUCUAAUUUGCCAAAAAUCAAAGUAGAGUCAGAUCUAAUUGCAAGGUAAUUCUAAGAAGACAACAUAGAAACUUAAGAUCCAGAAAUACCUCUUUGAAGCUUUCUCAUCCACAAAUAAUAUAGAUGAGAGUUUUAGGCAGUGACUGACCCUCUUCUGGAGAUGUUUUGCUUUCAAUCUGAACCGAGGCUUCCUUUGCACGUAAAAUCCAUGGUCCGUUUUCGUUCUUGACCUUUGAAAAAGACCUGAAAAAAGAAUGAAUUACUUAAAUCUUAAAGCUUUAGAGUUGCUGUUUCAUGCAUUUCAGUCACAUGGAAAUUACAGAAGCACCCAUACCUUUCAGUUGAUAUAGCUCCGUAGUGCAUCAACCAGAGAUGGAUCCAGCCCCUUUCUAGGAGGGUCAACAACAACUACACCUGAUCCCACUAGCCAAGAAAGAGGUCCCUGUUCCAGUUCAAUGAAUGAAACUCUUAUUGUAGGCUGAAAUAUUUACAAGAGUGAGAAGUCAAAAUUUAAUUUUCAAUAAUAUUGCCAGCUUAUCUGACUUUAGUCACUAGUAAUGUAAAAGAAUAAAAAAGUAGGAGAUAUCCGUAUGUAUGAGCUCCAGAGGAAAAUUCAGAGGGCUAUUUGUGUUUUUGUUUGUAUGUAUGAGUGUAAAUGUUUGAGGUUUUGAACACUAACAAUUGAAGUGUCUGCAUGAUGCCAUCUGAUGGUACCAUCUAUAGACUUUGGUAAGCCGCCAACUGUCUUCUCAAAAGAUAGCUUUGCCUCUUUGUCAAUCUCAAUGCAUUUAACAGACCUGGAAAACAAGGAUAAUUAACUUGGAAUUAAUAUAUCUUCUAGUUGGACAUAAGAAUGAGACUUCCAGACAACUUGAGCCAUCUGAGUUCUUGCCUGCAUUUUCUGGUGGUAGCUAAUGAUAAUCCAAUGACACCAGCUCUGGCACACAAAUCAGCAACUCUUCCCCAUAUGGGUCAUACUUUUGUAACUUACGAAGCAAUGAAUCAAAAGCCUGAACAGAAGCAGCAGACCAGCAACAUACAAGUAGGAUUUCUCUCAAGGAACAUAAGAUAGAAUCAGACAUCUUAUGUUAGUGAGCCGCAGCUGUGUCCUAUGUGAUGCAGGAACACAAAAAGGAACGCCGAACUUAGGUGCGCAAACAAGAGGCAAAUAAAACCGGAGGCUCCAGGCCCAGCAAUUCCAUCAAUUAAUUGUAUCAAAAAGGGAAUUGUACAUUCUCAAGGACUUGAUGUCCCUCACAUCAUGAAAUGAAUUAUAAUUUAAUGAUGAUUGAUAAAUAAGAUGGAAUAAAGACGUUCCUAUCAAAGGUGUACCAGUCUACAGCUAUCAAAGGUGAAAUCUGAAACGCCGCGGUUGUGGAAGAAGUCGUGACGCCGUCAAGAAUGAUCGGACGGUGGAGGUUGACCUCUUGAGCACCUGCAAAAACAAGCAUUGGAAAGCAAUUUGUACGAGUAAGUGGAGAAACAGAGAGAAGGGGGUGCGCACGAUUGGAAGUGUUGGCAUUGUAGGGCAUGUUAGGGAAGGACGUGGAGAUAGGUUUAGGGUUAGGGAUUGGUGGAAAGGACCAUAAACAUCCUUGAUUUUAAAAUUUCUAUCACUAUCACGUAAUAUUGAGUUUGGUGGAAAGGACCAAAUGAUUGAAGUUUCUCUCAGCCUUUUAUGUUUCUGCGCGCCUUGGGUUAUGUGGCCUUUUUAUCAGCCAUCAUAUCCUCAUAUUAUAUGUCUCUAUGAAUAGAAUUCAGGUUCUGCUGCAAGGUGACGCUUCUGGAGAUCGCGACUCAUGUCCACCAAGCGUGUUCAAACAUCAAAUAUAGCUGUGGAGGCAGGGUGGAGGUCAGGUCUGGAUGUUUGGGGCCUAUAAACCGAGUCUCUGCUUGGAAUUGAAAUAAUUAUUUUCGGAGUUAUAUAUUCUUGGGAGAUAUAUUCCUAUUCCUUCUCUUCUGCCAAGUAAAUGAGGCCUAGGACUCUGCCAGUAUUGAAGCUUAAACUGUAAAAUAGGUUUGGCUGAUUAUUCGUGCUGCUAACACAAUAUUUAAAAGCAAUCAAGAUCAUAAGAAAUAAUUCCCAAACAUAAAUUUGUUUGUGUAAAUGGCAGGUUUACAAUUGAUGAGAAAUGAUGUUUUCAACAAGUAUCUUUUCAUCUUAAAGCAUGUUCCCCGAUUUUCUUCAGCUGCAGUUUUUUUCAAACACCUACACCUUUCUUGUCAGACGGGCAACAUUCAGUGCCACAGCCAGAAGGAGCCUAUCUUUCAUUUUCUCGACAAAACGAAAAUAAGCAUACCGCCAUGAUGUCUUGAUUAUCAAAGUGCCACAAACUCCCCAGAAUCCUAUGAUGAAUCCCAGUCCCAUGCUAACAAAGAACCAUGGCAAUUCAGAGUCAUCUCCAUCUUCAUCAUCAUUGUCUUCUCCUUUCCCAGUUGGAAUUGUUCCAUUGUUAUCAUGGCACUCUGUCGUUAGAGGAAAUCCACAAAGUGCGAGGUUGCCCUGGUAAAUAGACGGAUCAAUCAAGGUUUGAAACUGGUUGCCUGUUGGGAUUUUCCCUGACAAGUUAUUGUGUGCCAGAUUCAGGUGAACCAAAAAGGUUAUGGAAGCCAUGCUCAUUGGAAUUGGACCAGAAAGUUUGUUUUUUGAUAGGUCGAGAGUCUCCAACCACUGCAAGUUUCCAAUCUUUUCUGGUAUAUUUCCCCCCAAAUUAUUGCUGGACAAAUUCAAGGUUCCCAGUUUCAGAAGGCUUGUUAGUUCUAUUGGAAUCUCUCCUGAUAAGCUAUUAUUGGACAGAUCCAGACUAUUCACAAGGUAGAGAGUGCUAUAGUAUUCCAGUGCUCUUCCUUUUGCAACAAGUUUCAAGCGUCCCUCAUACCGUUCUAGAUCAUCAUCAGAAAGUUCAGAUUUGAAGCCACUCAAGUUCCCAAAACAGGGAGGAAUGAAUCCUGACACAUGGUUGUGUGAGAGGUCCAGUAUGUGAAGCGCGGAAAGGGCACAGAUUUCUGAAGGAAUAUUACCGCUGAAGAAGUUGGACUGCAAGGCUAAGAUCAACAGGGAUGGCAUGCUUUCUCCUAUCCAGGAUGGAAUGUUUCCAGAAAAUUUGUUAUCACCAAGAUCAAGGCUUUCCAAGACACUGCAGUUUUGCAGCUGGGAAGGAAGUUCACCAGAGAGAUUGUUGUUGGAUAGCACCAAGAAUCUGAGUGCCGUGAGGGAACCCAGUGAUCUUGGUAUUGUACCUGAGAGGCUGUUGUUUGACAUAUCUACAAUAUACAGGGAAGGCAUCUUGUUCCAGAACUGAGGAAUUUCUCCAGAUAAAUUAUUAUUGGAGAUAACCAAGGUGAUCAAAGCCUGUAGAUCACCCAUAGACAAGGGAAUGCUGCCAUUCAGAGAGUUCCAAGAGAUAUCUAAAUCUGUCAAAAUGGGCAUUACUUGACCGAUGUUCUGAGGAAUUGGUCCAGAAAAUAGAUUUCCCCUCAGAUACAGUGUACUUACAUUAGACGACCAGAGUGGGAGAGGACCAUCAAAGAGGUUUGAACUCAAAUCAACAUUGGCUAGGUAGCUGAACACUAAUGAGUUUGGAACUCUGCCACUUAACUGAUUAUAAGCAAUGUCUAGUUCACUGAGCUGCAAAUCUAAUUUCCAUAACCAAUCUGGUAUAGUACCUGAAAUUCCUGCAUUAUUCAGCACUAUGGUGGUCAACUCAUUUUGAGUUCUGAGCCAGGUAGGAAAUUUGGGACCCAAUUGGCAAGAUCUAAGGUUGAUGUAUGUGAGUUUGAAAGGAGGAGCCCAGUCAGAGGAGAUGUUGAAAACCAAAGAAACAUUUGGAGAACUUUUAGUAAUAGACAACUGCUUUAAGCUUGAGAGGUUGGCAAAAUGAGCUUCUGUUAUGACACCUUCCCAUGAGUUCUCAUUGAGCUCUAGCACGACCAGUGAUGAGAGUUGUCCAAGGCUGUCUGGGAUGAUCCCACCCAUUUGAUUCUGCGAGAGGUACAAUUCCUGUAAAGAGGAUAAGCUCCCAAUUGAUUCUGGAAUUGAACCGCGAAAUGAAUUAGACCAUAAUUGAAGAUAUCUUAAAUUCUUAAGAUGCCCCAACGAAUCUGGCAGGUUUCCAGUCAGUUUAUUGAAUCCCAAAUCCAGAUUCUCUAAGGUGCUGUAAGAGCAUGCAGAUAAGCCAUCGAGGAACUCAGCUAUCUCACCAGAAAGUUUGUUAACAGAAAGAAUCAAUGUCCGCAAAUAGCACAAAUUUCCCAGUGUUCUCGGUAACUCACCUUCAAUGUUGGAAUUCUUGGACAAAUCAAGUAGCUGGAGAGAAGUGAAGUUCUGGAAUGCAUCUGGUAGUCCACCUUGGAGGUUGUUGGAGUUGAGAUCAAGGUACACAAGGCUACUGAGAUUAAAUAACCAGUGAGGAAUGGUGGAGUCAAACCCAUUGUUUGAGAGAUCAAGAAUGGAAAGAGAGGUAAAAUUGAGAAAUGGAAGAGAAAGAGAAAGGUUGGAAAGUUGACAGUUGGGCAUGUGCAACUCCAAAAGAGACGGUAAAGUAUUAACGGUCUGGAGCCAGUAGGCUGCAGCCUUGCUGAGAUCAAUACCUCCCAAGUUAAGGUACUUCAAAGAAGAAAGGCCUGACAGCCAUUCCAGGCCAUUCUUGUUUGGUUCGAUAGAGUAUGUGUUGAGAUCAAGGUAGCGCAAGUUUGAGAGGUUUGCAAUAUUUGGAGGGAUGAUACCACCAAAGGAUGCUCCAGAGAGAUUGAGAUAUCUCAACUUCCUAAGCGAUCCAAUGAAUUUUGGAAUUUCCAUUCCUUCAAAAUUAUUCUUGCUGAGGUCUAGAUAAUUCAGAUAUUUCAAGCUGAGCAAAGAAGGAUUGAUCUCACCGCCCAACUCACUAGCUGUUCUAUCGCCCUCCAAACUGUUUGGGAAUGGGUUGCCAAGUUUGAGCUUGAUGACGCGUCCAGUCCUGUUAUAGCAGCUAACUCCUCUCCAUUUACAACAAUCUUCUCCGACCCAAGAUGACAGCCGACCUGAAGGAUCUGUGAGGCCUUGUUUGAACUUAAGAAGUCCUUCCUUCUCAACUUCUAGGCAAUUCAUGUUCUGAUUGGCAUCACAUGACCUGAGUUUAAUUGUUCCUUGGGACAAAAACCCAGAUAGUAGAAGGAGUGAAAGAAAUUGAGUAAUGACAUUGCACAUGAUUAUGUUAUGAUCAAAGUGUAAGAGGGAGAGUUUCUCUUCCAUCCAACAGAAUGCUGAAUUAGUCCACUUAUAGAACAAAUUAGGUGCCUGAGGGGAAGAUUUGGUUGGUUGAUGUGGUUAGGACUUUUGACAACCACAUGGUGGCUGCUAGAAGUCAAUAUGGAAAUGCUUUGCCUUUUUGAGAUGCUAGAAUGUGAACAUUUUUUUAUAGGUUACGAUGUGAACAUUAGAAACUGUACGAGGAAGUGUGAUACGCAUUACCUCUUUCCAAAAGGAGGAAGAAUUUUCUGAUAUCCUCACCAGCUACUAUUCUGCCGAACUUGAGAACUCCAUUCCUAUUUGACAUUAUCCUGACUGCUAUAGCCUAAAUUUGUUUCUCAGUGGUAAUGUUAGCUUCUCUAUACACAUGAUCUUGUCAAAUGACAAACUACGAUAGCCGACUCCUGGUGGGGUUUGUUAGCAGCCACAAUAGUAAAAUUGAAUGGAGUAGGGAAUUUGAGCUGUUGAAGGGUUCCCGUCCUUAAUGAAAAUGUCUUUGUCUUCUUUGUUUUGUUGUAUGGCCUCUUUGACACGCGAAAGUCUGAACACGGGUGCUUUAAUAGGUUUAGAUGUGGACAUCAAAACUUUAAUAGAAUGUGUAACAAUGUCAUGUUCUAAGAGGAAGAAAGUUUUAGACUUUAGGCAUCUGGAGCUGCCGGCCUUGGUUUAGGAACAUUUGCUGAAGUCUUGCUCCUAUUUUGGUUUAGGAAAAAACACAUAAGUUUAAUAAUUCAAAUAAAAUUAAAUAUGUCGUGAUAAAACAUCCCUUUCAUAUCUUCAUUUGCUAUUCUAAACGAGUGACUUAUUUUACCCUAUAUUCCCAUUUAACACAAUUCUUACAAUCAUAGCCAAAAUUUGCUAUAGAAUCAAAGAGAAAUGUGCUUGUCAAAGAGUUAUUAAUUUCAUAAAUAUUUUGCAUGUCAUUAUAAUUAUUUAUUGAGGACCCUAUAUUUUCAUUAGUAGGAACAUUUCUAAAUCACUUUCAAUCUUCAUUUGCCCUUCUCUUGGCUAUCAAAGACCAUCUCUCAAAUUGAUACUCUUUGUAGAUGCAUUACCCAUUUGUCUUGAACUAGCUAUGCCCUCGAAAUCAAAACUAGUAUAACUCAAAAAAAUUAUUUUUAUUUAUUUUUAAUAAAAUAAAGCAAUUAUACUCUUAUAAGGAUUUUAAUAUCCAAAUUUUAUUAAAAUUAUUUAAUUUUUUAUUAAAAAAAUAUUUUUAUUUGAAUUAAGUUCAUUUUCUACUAUAUAAGUUUAUUUUACAUUUUUUUUCUUUUUAUAGAAUCAAAAUAAAAAAUUAUUUUGACUUUAAUUACAAAAUCCAACGGAGGAGGUGCUGAGAUCAAGGUAGCGCAAGUUUGAAAGGUUUGCAAUAUUUGGAGGGAUCAUACCACAAAAGCAUACUCCAGAGAGAUUGAGUUGAUUCAAUGAAUUUUGGAAUUCCCACUCCUCCGAAAUUAUUCAUGCAGAGAUCUAGAUGAUUCAGAUAUUUCAAAUGGGGAAUUGUAAUAGGCUUUUUGGCAUUGUGGGGAUUGAGGAUAAGAUGGACCGAAACCAUUUCCAAGAGCGUACAGUUGAAAUUCCUGUGGCUGUCCUGACUGGAAAGUUUGUGCGCUCUUCCACAUCCUAAGGCAUAAACGUGACAAGUUUAGUCAUGUAGGGAUUGUGUCAUCAAAUUUUCUCCUCUUCCACAAGACCAUAUGAACCAACUAGAGAAGCCUACUAGAACGUGGACCCAAAAAGAGGUCAUGUCUUGUAUUAAAAGUAAAUUAGACUUGUUGGGUAAAGCUUCUAGCGUACCAAACACCGGUAGACCCAUUCAUUGACCUCAAGUCUUCCAUCCACACUUAUUAAGAACCUGAAUUUCUACGCAUAGCCUCGGAUCGCCAACGGUUUAGGCCUAAGAUGGGUAGCUUCUGUCAGCCUAUGUCCAAGUUGGUUUUCAGAGUCCGAGUCCUCAUUUGGGUGCUGAAAAGAGAUGCUCUUGUGGACAUCAUUUCAAGCUCGGUUAGAAGAGAGGGUUGCUUGAUGAAGAGUAAUCUUCAAAUCUAUAUGUUAUUUUGAAAAGUAAUUAUCUAAUUUAAUUGGUGGUUUGUUGAUAAUACAAAAUUUCAUCACAUUUUUUUAGGCGUAUGUCAAUAUUAAUAUUCUAAGUGAUGAGUAAAUGUCAAAUAAUUAGAAUAUUUAUUCUCAUUUUCCGUUUCCAAGUGAUCUCUUCUUGGUGAGGAUCUUUGAAAAAGGAUAUUUAAAAAAAUUAGUUUAAAAUCUAUGAAAACUUGUGAAGGGUCAAGUUGGCACAAGGCUUAAGUCACCUUUGUCCACUGCAAAGAGUAGCUGGCUUUCCCUAACCCUUUUCCAAUACAAUAUCAUAGGUAUGUGUGGAUCCCGCAGUUCGGCUCAAUGCGUUUUCCACUCGAUGGCGAACUCGAUUUUUAUUUUGAAAAGUUGAUUUUAUUUGAUUAUGAAAACUGACUCGGAGUCACCACUUAUUUUUGUUUUAUUUUUAAAAGGGUAAACAAAAUAAGAAAGAAACCCUAAGUGUGACUCCUUAUUUUGGAAAAGGUGAUCUGUAAAAAACCGGAUUGGGCUCGAGGGUCAGGUUAUUUAUCAGGAAGGUACGGUUAUGAACAGUAGCACCCCUCUAAGUCCCUAAAGUCGGGUCUCUAUUAAUACAAUGAAACUGACGUGGCAACCAACGAGAAAGUCAAUGGAAAUUCACCUAAAUCAUGCACAAUAUGAGAAUCAAAACACGCAAUAGGAAUUGACUAGAAUGGGAGUGGAUGCGUACCUCGGCCACGAGCCACAAUGCGCUAUCAAGAAACGGGAUUAGUACACAAUUAAUGAGUACAAAAUAUAGUUCAUGCAUAUCGGAGUGCAAAAUGAAGAUCAAGCAAAAUACAUUAAGUACAACAGUUGACGAUCAAAAGGGAUCAAACAUAGGGCCCUCAUCAAAGCCCAAUUUAUUGUUCAUGAACUAGUCCCCCAAAUUUCGUGUUUUAGAAUUAUGAAGAAUUCAUUAUUACUUAUGUAAAAAUCAAAAGAAAUAGAACAUUAUUUAAAAAUCAGAGUGAAAUUAAAGCUAUUCGAGAUAAAACUGGAUUUUUGGAGAUUUAUUUGGAAAUUAGAGUCUCGAAAAUUAUUUGAAGAUUGGAGUCUUGAAAAAUUAAAUUUAAGAAUUGGAAUUUUGGAUAUUAAAUUUGAAAGAAAUUAGACUUUUGGAAAUCGGAAAUUAAGUUCAGAAAUUGGAAUUUGGAAGAAUUGUUUAAAAUGGAAUUUCAAAAUAAAUACCUAAAAUAAUAAUAAUUAAAUAGAUUAAUGUGAAUUUUGGAAUUUUGGAAUUAGAAAUUAAAUCGGGAGUCGGAAAUUUUAAUGAAUUGUUUAAAAUGAAAUUUUAGAAUAAAUAAAUAAAAUAAUAAUAAUUAAAUAGAUUAAUGUGAAUGUUGGAAUUUUGGAAUUAGCGGAAGUGGAAAUUUUAAUGAAUUGUUUAAAAUGGAAUUUUAGAAUAAAUAAAUAAAAUAAUAAUAAUAAAUUAAUGUGAAUAUUGGAAUUUUCAGAAAUAGAAAUUUAAUUCGAAAAUCGAAAGUUUUAAAUGAACUGUUUAAAAUGGAAUUUUAGAAUAAAUAAAUAAAAUAAAAUAAUUAAAUAGAUUAAUGUGAAUAUUGGAAUUUUUGGAAUUAGAAAUUAAAAUCAGAAGUGGAAAUUUUAAUGAAUUGUUUAAAAUGGAAUUUUAGAAUAAAUAAAUAAAAUAAUAAUAAUAAAUUAAUGUGAAUAUUAGAAUUUUCAGAAAUAGAAAUUUAAUUCGGAAAUCGAAAGUUUUAAAUGAAUUGUUUAAAAUGGAAUUUUAGAAUAAAUAAAAAAAUAAUAAUAAUUACAUAGAUUAAUGUAAAUAUUGGAACUUUUAGAAUUAGAAAUUAAAAUUGGAAGUCGGAAAUUUUAAUGAAUUGUUUAAAAUAGAAUUUUAGAAUAAAUAAAUAAAAUAAUAAUAAUUAAAUAGAUUAAUAUGAAUAUUGGAAUUUUUGGAAUUAGAAAUUAAAAUUGGAAGUCAGAAAUUUUAAUGAAUUGUUUAAAAUGGAACGAGAAUAAUGAUUAAAUAAAUAAACGUGAAUUUUGGAAUUUUUGAAAUCGGAAGUUUUAAAGAAUUGAUUAAGAAUGGAGUUUUGAGAUAAAUGAAUGAAAUAUUAGGGAUUAAAUACAUUAAAGUACGUAUGGGAAUUUUCGGGUUUUAAUUCAGAAAUCGAAAGUUUUAAAGAAUAGAUUAAAAAUGGAAUUUUAAAAUAAAUGAAUGAAAUAUUAGUGAUUAAAUAAAUUAAAGUGAGUAUGAGAAUUUUCGGAAUUUAAUUCUAUAAUCAAGAAUUUUAAAGAAUAGAUUAAAAAUGGAGUUUUAGAAUAAAUAAAUAAAAUGACAGAGAUUUAAAUAAAUUAAUAUAAAAUUAGAAUUUCGGAAAUUAAAAAAAAAAACGGAAUUUUGAAGGGUUUUAAAUUUGUCAUGUGAAAUAAAGGGCCAUGCACAGAUGCAUAAACAGGCUUAAGGGCAUUGAGAUUAUGCUAUUGGGCUGGACCCAAAAUGGAAAGGUACUCUUAAAGGUCAUUCAUGGGCUUGAGCUGCAUUAAACAGCUUAGGCCCAACUAAAAAAACCAUCCCCAUGAACGCACUGCUCUCCUCCCCUCUCCUCUCUUUCCCUUCUUUACUCCGCCGGAGGGUCCUCUGCCGUGUCCGCCGUGAACGCCUGGCACGCCACUGACAGGUUCGUCUUCAUCCUUUCCAUCAUCGGCGAGCGACAAGGGCUCACGGCGGCGACGUAGCCCCGUUACCCGCUAUAGCCCUGCACCGCAUGGUCGGAUAUCGUGACCGCCAUGCCGCCGCUGCACUCACCAACGCCAUUGAUUCAGCGGUCCUUGCUUCUAGGCUUAAAUGUCCAUAUCCUAGAAUCGAUCUAUGGACUCAGUGCGGAUGGGAUAAACAAGCUCAACAUAUCCAUCCAUCAUCAAACCCAAACGGGAAUCCGACCAUUUAUAAGAAUAGAGACCAUGAGUGGUAAAGAGAACAAACAAGAGAAAAUCAACAAAAGGAAAACAGAGCAUGCGUAUGCGAGCAGUCAUAUGCAACCUAAACAAUCAUGUGGCCUUAGAUAUCCACAGAAAAAAUUAUCCAAUGGUCCUAAAAGCUAUAUAUAUAUAUAAAAGGAUAGAACCUUCUGAACUGAGAAAACACAAAAGAGAGUCGAAAUCAUACCUGGGCCGAAACUGAUAAGCUUCUCCUUUGCUCCUCUCGAAAACCUCUCUCUGCGAAUGCCCUUAGGUAGAAUUUCUUCCUUCAAACACCACUUUCCUUCUCCAGCCCCGACAUCUCGCUUGCCAUUCCUCUUUUCCUCAAGUUGCUCGUCACUCUCUCGCCACCAUGCUCUCCUCCCCAAGCUCUCUAAAACUCUCCCUGUCCCACCCCGUAACUGCCUCUCUUCUUCUUUUUGCAAAACUCCCUUCUUUCUUCUCCUUGCCACCCACUCUCUACCCCCUGUCUCAAUUCGGCCGCCUCAUUCAGCUGAAAUCCCAGGUAUUCAGAAAAGUAAACAUAAAAAAAAAAAGAAAACAUCGUUCGGGGGGGGGGGGGGGGGGGGUGCUUCCAUGAAACUGUGUCCCGGACCUCUUUAACUUCUCUUAAAAAAUGGAGGCUCUUCACUUGAAGUUGGUUAUAUCAUAUAUGGAAAGUUGAAAAUUAUAUCCCACUUGUAAAAAAAAAAAAAAAAAAAGGCAAAAAGAACGCUCAAGUCUAAAGGGGAUUUCUGAGAAUUUUGGUAGCAGCCUAUACUGAGAUGAGAGGUACUACUUGUCAGUUGUUGCUACUUCAACAUUAUAUAAUAAUAUGCCCACUUGGGCUUUAUGUUGGAAUACUGGAUUAAAAUCUCAGUAGUGACUGAGCAAUUAAUUUUUACCAUUUUUCUAUUGAAGUCCAUUUCCUGAAGAACUUUUAGUGAUUUGCUAAAAGAAAAAAGGAAAAAGACUUCAAGAAAAAGUAGGCUUAGCUUUGAAUAAAUAAAUAAAUAAAAAACACUAGAUAAGUUAUGAUUUUGAUAGUGGAGUUUCCAACUGUUUAGUUGUUGGCAUUCCAGAUUCCAAUCCUUGAAGACUUAGUCUUUGCUGAAGAUUAGCUCAAGUUUGUUAUGACUCUGUUUGUCUUAAAUUUCAAAAAUAGGUGUAACAGCCUAAAUAAAUAUGCAGGAAAGAUAGGAAGAUUUUGUUAUUUUUCUUGUAUAAAUAUCUCAUCUCAAAUGGAAUAAAAUUAUCAGCUUCUAUCUAUCAUAUUUGUAGCCUUUUCUUCAUUAAGUUGUAGUUUUAUACCUGUAAUUUCUCCAACAAGUGGUAUCAGAGCCACAGUUGGUUGACCGAAAUUCUCUAUUGUACCAAAAUACUUAGCCUUUUUAUGUAGUAACUCUGGUCAAGAAAAACUAGAGAAAGAGUCACUACGGCUUUUGUAGUAUUCCGGGUAUCGUUCUCAAAGACUGGUUUAUGAAAAUUGUCAAUACUAGAAUAAAUGAAUUGUUUUUGUUUAAAUCCUUAAAUGAAAAAACAAUAUGUGAAUAAUGUGAAACUAAGUAAAAAAAAUUAAAUUAAUAAGAAAAAAUGAAUAUUGAUUUUAAAUUCAAUUGAUUUAAGUUUGGGGUUUUCCACAAUCCAACCUAGGGUAUAGAAAUUAGAGAAAAUAAGGGUAUUUUAAGUAAUAUGAUCUUAGGGUUUUAGGAUCCUUGGCCGUUCGCGAUUAAGUUGAGUUCUAUAACUCAAGAUUGCAUCUAAAACCUAAUUUUUCCUUUUUAAAACAGAUUCCUAAAACCAUCAAAUGAAUGAGAUUGAUUAUCAAUUUAAGAUUUGACUUUUUAACCCUUCCUACUCCUUAUAGCUUUGUUUAGGGGCAAAUAACGGUAGGGAAGACGAGGAUAACUAAUGAUCAAGAAUUACCAAGAAUCACUAGUAUCAAGUAAUAACCUACUGUAUCAUUCCCUAAGCGAACUCACAAGGAUAUGAUAAAAAAAAAAUGAUAAAUUGUCACCCAACCAAUAAUUAAUCUCAUUGUUAUAGUAAUUUACCCAUUGUCCCUAUAGGUUUUCUAGUCCUUAGGUUUUCAUGCUUCAAGCCCCAAGUUGGCUCUUAGCCUCUCAUGGGGGUGAUGUCACAUUCACAAUCCAUAAUAGGGUAAAAAUCCAUAAUUUGAAUCAAAAGAAACUAAAAACAAUAUAUUCAAUAGAGAAGAAAAAGAAAACAAACCAAAGUUCUCGUCUUCCACCUUCAAUGUCAAACUCUCCAGAAAAAAAUCCAAGAUCCCUAAAACCUAGAAUUGAGAGAGUUUAUAUAAUAUCCUCAAUUACCUAACAUGUGGCACACUCUCAUUGGCCACUUAUUACAAAAUAAUUUCCUAAAAAUGAUUAAAAAAUAAUAAAAUGGUGAUUUCUAGUCGUGUGGGGUCACCUAGGGCGGAUGGAGUGCUUUAGAUGCAAUUCCCGAGGUAGAGGAGGCAGAACAUCAAAGUGGUAGUGGGUGAAUUCGAAAUUGGUGUCAUUUCGAAGUGGAUUUCGAAUUCAUAAGUUGAAUUUCGAAAUCAUUUCGAAAUGACCCUCCAACUUGGUGCAGUUGUCUUCAAAUGGCUAUAAAUUCUUCAUUUCAGAUCCGAUUUGCAAACUGUUUGAAGUGUUGGACUCCUGACUUCCCAAGCUUCGAAACAAUAUAUAGUAUGUAUAUAAUGGACUCCAGAAAGUUCUCCAAAUUUUUCCUCAAAGCCAGAGUAUAUAAUGCCAUCAGAUUUUUGAGUUCUAAAUUUCCAUGCAGCUAAAUCUUGCUUCAUGCCUCAUUUCCCAUCCUUUCUUGCCUUCUUUCUUACUCCAUAAUGGUCAUUUAUCAUUUUCCAACCUCAUGAUAUCCUCGUUUUGCCUUUCCUUACGUUCAAUGAGUCUUGACUCACUUAUUUCCUCAUUUAGCCCUUUCUUGAUCUUUCAAAAUCUAAAGUCAUUCAUUUUGCACAAUUUUCUUCCCUUGAACCUGAGAUAAGUCUCCAAAGUAUAGAUUAAACUCAUGGAUAGGGCCUUAGCAUUGAUUUAGGUCAAGUUGGGUGAUUUGAAUGUCCUUUGGUGCACAAAUCAUAUCGAAUAUGUGCCAUUAUAACACAUAUUUUGGCUCCAAUCAUUGGUCUUACAGGACCUGUGUUAUGAGAGAAAACCAAGAAAGUUCACUUCAUAACCCAUUUGAAACCACACUAGAAAAUGGCAACCAGUAGCAUCUCUUUGUUAGCUCCUCAAAUCUUUGUGGGAGAAAACUAUCAAUUUUGGUCCGUAAAGAUGAAAACGUACUUGGAAGCAUUUGAUCUUUGGGAAGUUGUAGCUGAAGACGAACCAAUAGCUCCACUUCCGGCGAAUCCUACCUUAGCACAAAUUAGAGCUCAUACUAACGAAAAGACCAAAAAGUUUAAAGCUAAGACUUUAAUCCAAAAUUCAGUUGCUGACUCAAUAUUUCAUAGAAUUAUGAAUUGCAGGACAGCCAAAGAAGCCUGGGACAAGCUUAAAUUGGAGUAUCAAGGAAGUGAUAGAACCAAACAAAUGCAAGUGCUGAAUCUGAAAAGGGAUUUCGAGUCUUUAACCAUGCAAGAAGAUGAAACUAUCACCAAGUAUUCUGACAGAAUUGCUUUGAUUGUUAACAAAAUCAGGUCGUUUGGUGAAGAAUUUCCUAAUGCAAGGAUCGUGUAAAAGGUUCUUAUGACACUUCCUGAGAUGUUUGAGUCCAAGAUUUCAUCUCUUGAAGAAUGUAGGGACCUUUCACAAAUUUCACUUGUUGAACUAAUGAACGCACUCCAAGCACAAGAGCAAAGAAGAGCUUUGAGGCAAGAGAACGUCACAGAAGGUGCUUUUCAAAUGCAGACCCUACAAUCUAAUAAAGACAAAAACCAGUUUAGCAAGAAGAAAAGUAAAAGCAGAGAGAAUAGCAGCAAAGAAAGGGCCCAACAAAAGAAAUAUCCAACCUGCUCACAUUGCAAGAAGACUACGCAUCUAGAGAAAUACUGUUGGUGGAGGCCAGAUGCAAUAUGCGGCAACUGCAAACAGCUUGGGCAUGUUACCAAAGUCUGCAAAUAUAAAAAUAAAGGUCCUCAAUUUCAGCAAGCACAAGUUACUGAUGCAGAUUCGUAGGAGGAGAAACUCUUUGUAGCAUCAUGUUUCUCAAGUCAAGACUCUUAUAAUGCUUGGCUCAUUGAUAGUGGAUGCACACACCACAUGUGUCACAAUGCUACAAUAUUCAAGGACCUUGACAAAACCUACAACUCUACGGUGAAAGUAGGCAAUGGUGGAUAUGUGGAUGUCAAGGGAAGGGGCACGGUUGCUGUCAAAACAAAUUCAGGUAUCAAGCUCAUCUCUGAUGUGUUAUUUGUACUUGAUAUUAGUCAAAAUCUAUUGAGUGUAGGUCAAAUGCUUGAAAAGCAAUAUUCCCUACAAUUCAAAGACAACCAAUGCAUCAUCUUUGAUCCAUAUGGAGAGAAAUUGCUUUGUAUGAAGAUGAAAAGCAAGAGCUUUGUCAUCAAUUGGGAGAAUGCUACUGAAUAUGCAUAUGCUGGAGUUACUCAAAGUGUUUCAGACCUAUGGCAUAAACAGUUUGGACACUAUAACCAAAGGAGUUUAGUAGAGCUAAAAAAACUUGAGCUGGUGGAAGACAUGCCAAACGUAUCUAAUGAAGCUCAAAUAUGUGAGAUUUGUCAACAAGGCAAACAAGCAAGGUUGCCAUUCAAAAAUAAUCAAGCAUGGAGAGCCAUUGAAAAGCUUCAACUCAUACACACCGAUGUUUGUGGUCCCAUGAAAACAACUUCUUUGAGUGGUAACAAAUACUUCAUUCUCUUUAUGGAUGACUAUACCAGAAUGUGUUGGGUAUAUUUUAUCAAACUAAAGAAUGAAGUUUUCUCUGUUUUCAAACAAUUCAAAGCCCUUGUAGAAAAUCAAAGCAACUUGAGCAUUAAAAUCUUAAGGUCUGACAAUGGUACGAAAUAUACCUCCAAUCAAUUUGUUGAGUUUUGUAGCACUGCAAGCAUCGAACGUCAGCUAACAACUCCAUACACUCCACAACAAAAUGGUGUCUCAGAGAGGAAGAAUUGAACUGUAAUGGAGAUGUCCAGGUGUCUUCUAUUUGAGAAAAAAAUGCCAAGUAAUUUUUGGGUAGAGGUAGUUAACACCUCUGUAUAUUUGCUGAACAGAUUGCCUACAAAAUCCUUGAAGAACAAAACACCAUAUGAAGCAUGGUAUGGUGUCAAGCCCUUUGUUAAUCAUCUUAAAAUAUUUGGAAGCAUAUGCUAUUAUCAUGUAUCAGAACCUAAAAGAAGCAAGCUAGAUAGUAGAGCUCAAAAGGGCAUUCUCAUUGGCUACGGGACAUCAACUAAGGGCUAUAGAAUAUUCUGUUUGCAAACUAACAAAGUUGUCUUGAGCAGGAAUGUAAAAGUUGAUGAAAUGACAACUUGGGAUUGGAAAAAUAAAAAAGAUGCGCAAUCUGAUGUCGGCUUUAAUAAUCAUGAAGAUUUUCAAACUUCUAAAUCCGUAGAUGAUUUUCCAGUGAGGGGCACAAGAAGCUUGGAGGACAUCUAUCAAAGGUGCAAUUUAGCAAUAACUGAACUAACAAGUUAUGUAGAAGCCAAAGAUUCUGAAGCAUGGAGGAGAGCAAUGCAAGAAGAAUUGAAGAUGAUUAACAAGAAUGAAACCUAGCAGCUUGUGGAGAGACCAAAAAAUCACAAGGUGAUUGGAGUGAAAUGGGUUUUCAAAACAAAACUCAAUUUUGAUGGUUCGAUAUGCAAACACAAAGCUAGGCUAGUGGUGAAGGGAUAUGCUCAACAGUAUGGUGUUGAUUAUUAGGAGACUUUUGCUCCUGUGGCAAGGUAUGACACUAUCAGGCUACUUUUUGUACUUGCUGCUCAAAAUUCUUGGCAUAUUCAUCAGUUAGAUGUUAAAUCUGCCUUCUUAAAUGGAUUUGUUGAUGAAGAGAUAUAUGUAGAGCAACCAGAUGGGGUUGUGGCUCUAGGCAAAGAGGACUAUGUGUACCUUCUAAGGAAGGCAUUGUAUGGCUUGAAACAAGCCCCCAGGGCUUGGUAUGAAACCAUGGACAAGCAUCUGACUAAACUUGGUUUUGUUAGAAGUCAGAGUGAAGCAACCUUAUAUGUAAAAACUAAUGAUGUCCAACCUUUAAUAAUCUCUCUUUAUGUAGACGACAUGGUUGUAACAGGAAAUCAGCCCAAGUUAAUUCAAAGCUUCAAGGAUGAGAUGAACAAAGUCUUUGAAAUGACCGAUCUUGGAGUCAUGAAGUAUUUUUUGGGAAUGGAAGUGAUGCAGUCAUGUUCAAGAAUUUUCAUAUGCCAAUAGAAGUAUGCUAUGGAUAUGCUGAAAAAAUUUAAAAUGCAAGAUUGCAAGCCUGUGUCUACUCCUAUGACAACCAGCGAGAAGUUAAGCAAGGAUGACAACUCCGAGAAAAUAAAUGAAGGCUUAUAUAGAAGCUUAAUUGGUAGCCUUUUAUACUUAACAGCUAGCAGACCUGACAUACUGUUUGCUGUUAGUGUGCUUUCCAGGUUCAUGCACUCACCAAGUGAGAAACAUUUUCAGCAGCUAAAAGAGUAUUAAGGUACAUCAAAGGAACAAUUGAUCUUGGAGUUCAAUUUUCAAAAUCUGCAGAAGGUGGUUUGAAGCUGCUAGGCUACUCCGACAGCGAUUGGGGAGGUUGUGUUGAUGAUUCAAGAAGUACUUCAGGGUACUUAUUCUCCCUAGGCUCAGGUUGUUUCACUUGGAGCUCAAAGAAACAAGAAACCAUAGCCCAAUCAACAGCAGAGGCAGAAUACAUUGCUGCUGCAUCUGCUGUAAAUCAAGCUUUAUGGUUAAGAAAAAUAUUGAAAGACUUAGGGCAAGAGCAAGUUGAAGCAACCAACAUUAUGUGUGACAACACUUCUAUAGUAUCAAUUUCGAAAAAUCCGGUGUUUCAUGGUCGAACAAAGCAGAUAAAGAUCAAGUAUCAUUUUAUUAGAGAAGUUCAAUAAUCCAAUGAAGUGUUACUUGUUCAUUGUUCCUCUGAAAAUCAACUUGCAGAUAUAUUCACAAAGCCUUUACCAAUGGAAAGGUUUGAAGCUCUUAAGUAGAAGAUAGGUGUUUGUCAUCCGGAUGCCAAGGAGGAGUGUUCAGUUGUUGGCAUUCCAGAUUCCAAUCCUUGAAGACUUAGUCUUUGCUGAAGAUUAGCUAAAGUUUGUUAUGACUCUGUUUGUUUUAAAUUUCAAAAAUAGGUGUAACAACCUAAAUAAAUAUGCAGGAAAGAUAGGAAGAUUUUGUUAUUUUUCUUGUAUAAAUAUCUCAUCUCAAAUGGAAUAAAAUUAUCAACUUCUCUCUAUCAUAUCUGUAGCCUUUUCUUCAUUAAGUUGCAGCUUUAUACCUGUAAUUUCUCCAACACCAACUUGUAAGAAGCACUUUCUUUGUCAUUGCUAUCCUAAACCUCCACACAUGGAUCUCAAUUGGCUUAUAAAAAGCAUUUGUAUCAGUAUUUUGUGCAUUCCAUACAUACAACUUCUGGCUGCAAUUCUAUUUUCAUGGCUAAUAUCAAUGCCUCCAUUCAUUUCCUUCUGCUUAUUUUCCUCUCCUCCACUUUUCUCUAUCUUGAAACUGUUAAACUUGGUUCCUGCAAUGGCGUUCUCAAUGUCAGCUGCACCGAAAUUGAGAGAAAAGCCCUUGUUGACUUCAAACAAGGUCUUACUGAUCCUUCCGGCAGGCUCUCUUCUUGGGUUGGCCUGGAUUGCUGUAGAUGGAGUGGUGUGGUGUGCAGCCAGAGGGUGCCUCGAGUCAUCAAGCUCAAACUCCGCAACCAGUAUGUUAGAAGUCCGGAAGCCAACGAUGAAGAUACCGGUGCUUUUGAGGAUGACUAUGGAGCAGCUCAUGCAUUUGGCUGCGAGAUAAGUCAUUCUUUACUUGAUUUGAAAGAUUUGAGGUACUUGGACUUGAGCAUGAACAAUUUUGGAGGACUCAAAAUCCCCAAGUUCAUUGGAUCAUUCAAGAGGUUGAGAUAUCUCAAUCUCUCAGGAGCAUCAUUCGGUGGAACUAUCCCACCCCACCUAGGGAACCUUUCUAGCUUGCUCUAUCUUGAUCUCAACUCUUAUUCUCUUGAAUCAGUUGAGAAUGACCUGCACUGGUUAUCAGGUCUUUCUUCUCUGAGACACCUUAAUUUGGGAAAUAUAGAUUUUAGCAAGGCUGCAGCUUAUUGGCAUCGAGCUGUUAACUCCCUUUCUUCACUUUUGGAACUACGCUUACCUGGAUGUGGCCUGUCUUCCCUUCCUGAUCUCUCUCUUCCAUUUGGUAAUGUCACCUCACUUUCGGUGCUCGAUCUCUCCACCAAUGGCUUCAAUUCGUCGAUACCUCUUUGGUUGUUCAACUUUAGUAGUCUUGCAUACCUUGAUCUCAACUCCAAUAGUCUUCAAGGCAGUGUUCCUGAAGGAUUUGGUUACUUGAUUUCCUUUAAAUACAUUGAUUUUUCUUCUAAUUUAUUUAUUGGUCACUUACCAAGAGACUUAGGAAAGCUUUUCAACUUGCGAACUCUCAAACUAUCUUUCAACAGCAUUAGUGGAGAGAUAACUGAAUUCAUGGAUGGGUUGUCCGAGUGUGUAAACAGUAGUAGAUUAGAGUCUCUGGAUUUGGGGUUCAAUUAUAAACUGGGUGGGUUUCUUCCUAAUUCUUUGGGACACCUAAAGAACUUGAAGUCUCUUCAUCUGUGGAACAACUCAUUUGUGGGGUCAAUUCCAAACUCCAUUGGAAAUUUGUCGUCUUUGCAAGGAUUCUACAUCUCUAAAAAUCAAAUGAAUGGAAUAAUCCCAGAGAGUGUUGGCCAACUCUCAGCAUUGGUUGCAGUGGAUCUCUCAGAGAAUCCAUGGGUUGGUGUUGUGACUGAGUCUCAUUUCUCCAAUCUCACAAGCUUAACUGAGUUGGCAAUCAAGAAGUCAUCUCCAAAUAUCACCUUGGUCUUCAAUGUGAAUUCUAAAUGGAUUCCUCCUUUUAAACUCAAUUACCUGGAACUCAGAACGUGCCAACUAGGUCCCAAAUUUCCUACAUGGCUGAGAACCCAAAACUAGCUGAAGAUAAUAGUGCUCAACAAUGCUAGGAUUUCAGACACAAUACCUGAUUGGUUUUGGAAGUUAGACUUGCAGCUCGAGCUACUGGAUGUUGCCAAUAAUCAAAUGAGUGGGAGGGUCCCAAAUUCAUUGAAAUUUCCUGAAAAUGCUGUUGUGGAUUUGAGCUCCAACCGCUUUCACGAUCCUUUCCCACACUUUUCUUCUAACCUGAGUUCAUUGUAUUUGAGAGACAAUUUAUUUUCUGGACCAAUACCUCGGGAUGUUGGCAAAACCAUGCUGUGGUUGACAAAUUUUGAUGUCUCUUGGAACUCUCUAAAUGGUACCAUUCCCUUGUCUAUAGGUAAGAUUACGGGUUUGGCAAGUCUGGUUCUCUCAAAUAAUCAUUUAUCUGGUGAAAUUCCUUUGAUUUGGAAUGAUAAACCAGAUUUGUACAUCGUAGAUAUGGAAAAUAACAGCCUAUCUGGUGAGAUCCCUAGCUCAAUGGGCAUCCUGAAUUCACUUAUGUUCUUGAUACUGAGUGGCAACAAACUUUCAGGGGAAAUUCCUUCUUCACUGCAGAAUUGCAAGGACAUGGAUAGUUUUGACCUUGGCGAUAAUAGAUUAUCAGGAAACCUUCCGUCAUGGAUAGGAGAGAUGCAAUCGUUGUUGAUUCUACGCCUGCGAUCAAACUUGUUUGAUGGAAACAUUCCCUCCCAAAUGUGCAUUCUUUCCCAUCUUCAUAUAUUGGACCUCGCACAUAAUAAUCUGUCAGAAUCCGUUCCUUUUUGUUUGGGAAAUUUGAGUGGCAUGGCUACUGAAAUCAGCAAUGAGCGAUACGAGGGGCAAUUGUCAGUUGUGAUGAAAGGAAGAGAACUCAUAUAUCAGAAUACUCUGUAUCUCGUGAAUAGCAUUGAUCUUUCAGACAAUAAUAUAUCAGGGAAGUUGUCUGAAAUAAGAAAUCUUUCAAGACUUGGCACCUUGAACUUGUCCAGAAACCAUUUGACAGGAAAUAUACCAGAGGACGUUGGGAGCUUAAGUCAAUUAGAAACUCUGGACCUCUCAAGAAACCAGCUCUCUGGCUUGAUUCCACCAAACAUGGUUUCUAUGACUUCCUUGAAUCACUUGAACUUGUCUUACAACAGACUAUCUGGUAAAAUUCCAACAAGCAACCAGUUCCAAACCUUCAAUGACCCGUCCAUAUACAGGAAUAACCUUGCACUCUGUGGGGAGCCUCUGGCAAUGAAGUGCCCAGGCGAUGAUGGGGCUACUACUGAUUCUUCAGGUGUGGAUAAUGAAGAUCAUGACGAUGAACAUGAAGAUGCGUUUGAAAUGAAGUGGUUCUACAUGAGCAUGAUGUCACGGACUUAGUCGUUUCCUAAGCUCGUGCGGCACUUAGGCAAAUCAAGACGCUUGAUCUUGCUAAGUCAGCCUUACCUCCGACACUUAGCUUGCUAGACUAAGAUGCUCACGACUCGGAAGCUUGAGAAGUUGUAGUAGGUAACUUUUAAAGAAUGGAAGCUCUUAUUACUCAAGGAAGCCUUUACAAGUGCUUGGAAGCUUACUUGCUUGGUGCCUUGGCCAAAUGAGGCCCUCACCUAUUUAUAGGCACCAAUGAAACUCUCUAGAACCUUGGAGGGUUCCUUACAAUUCAUGAAUAUUCUAGAAUGUCCUACACUAUUCUAUGUACAAGCCUAUAUACAGGAGACUUCUAGAUUUCUCUAGAAAGCUUUGGACCUUUCUCAUGCCUUCUACCAUAGUGUAGAGUUGUGUGGACUUCUCUAGGCAUUUCUAGAACCUUCCACACUCUUCCCACUAGUGGCUAAGUGUGGAUGUCUCCAAGGGUCUCUAGAAGCUUCUCACCUCCUAUAUAAGCCAUGGGGAGGGUCAUUUGAAGCAUCUUGUGACACUCUCCCCCACCUAAGCCGCAGACGUCCUCGUCACGUCUUCUGCCCGAAACCGCUCAAUCUGCUCCUGGAACUGCCAUAGUGCAUUUCCUGGCUCCCAGCUAGCCUCGCUUUCUAGUAGUCUCUUCCAUUUCACUAAGUACUCCGUAGUAGGAGGCACACCACGCCUUCUGAUGAUUCGGUCUGCAAUGAUGUGUUCCACCUCCUUGUCAUAGGAGGUCAUGACCGCUGUAGGUGCCCUCUUAGAAAGCCCUCGGCUUGGAUCAUCCUUGUCUUCGUGAUAUGGUUUCAAGUAACUCACGUGGAAGACAGGGUGAAUCUUUAACCUUGGCGAUAACUCCACUUUGUAGGAUACCUUGCCGACCUUUCCAAGUAUAGGGAAGGGUCCUUCAUACCUCCUCACAAGGCCCUUAUGCACUGGCCUUAGGGAUUUGAAUUGUUGAGGAAGGAGCUUGACAAGCACCAUGUCUCCGACCUUGUACUCCGUGUGACGUCGCUUCUUGUCAGCCCACUUCUUCAUUUUCUUAGCGGCCUUGUCCAAGUACGAGCGUGCUAUGUCAGCUUGCUCAUGCCACCCCUUCACGAACUUGAAAGUCGCUGGACUUCUCCCCAUGUAGCCUAUCGUUAGCGUGUGAGGAGUUAAGGGUUGCUGCCUUGUGGCUAGCUCGAACGGGCUCUUGUUGGUCGCCUCACUCCUUUGCAAGUUGUAUGAGAACUGGGCUAUAUCUAGCAACUUAGCCCAAUCUCUCUGGUUGGCACUCACAAAGUGCCUCAAGUACAGCUCCAGCAAGGCGUUCACCCUCUCAGUCUGCCCAUCUGUCUGUGGGUGAAAGCUGGUGGAGAAGUGAAGCUCCGAACCCAUAAGCUUGAAGAGCUCCGUCCAAAAUUUCCCAGUGAAACGCGGAUCGCGAUCACUGAUAAUAUACUUAGGCAAUCCCCAAUACUUGACUACGUGUUUUAAGAAUAGUCUUGUCGUCUCCUCCGCAGUGCAGUCAGUAGGGGCUGCUAUGAAGGUCGCAUAUUUAGAGAACCUGUCCACUACCACUAUGAUAGAGCCGUUGUCCUCUGACUUGGGCAGCCCGAUGAUGAAGUCCAUGGUGAUGCUGUCCCAUGGGCGCUCCGCUAUUGGUAAUGGUUCCAACAGGCCUCUAGGCUGUCGUUGCUCCACCUUGUCUUGUUGACACACAAGACAAGUUCUCACGUAGGCCUCAACCUCAUCCCGUAUUUGAGGCCAACAGUAAGCCGACUCGAGUAAUGCCCUCGUGCGUCGUUGCCCUGGGUGCCCUGCCCACUUGGUGUCGUGGCACUCCUUAAUUAGAUUCCGUCUUAUGUUUCCCCACUUAGGCACGUAGAGUCGUCUCCCCUUAGUGUAGAGUAGGCUGUCCUCCACCCAAAACCGCUUAGUCUUCCCUUCAUGAGCCAGGGCGAUGACGCUCUUAGCCACUGGAUCAUGUUGCAGUCCUUCCCUUAGAAGAUCUAUUAUGUCUCCUUGGGGCUGACUCGUCAUAGACGCUAGCUUGGCUUUGCGGCUUAGGGCGUCGGCCACAUGAUUAGCACUUCCCGGCUUAUACUCCAGCGUAUAGUCAAACUCGGCCAGGAAGUCUUGCCACCUAGCUUGUUUAGGACUCAGCUUCUUCUGUGUCUGGAAGUAGCUAGUGGCCACAUUGUCGGUCUUCACUAUGAAGUGAGACCCUAGCAAAUAGUGCCUCCAAGUGCGCAAGCAGUGGACAAUAGCGGUCAUCUCCUUUUCUUGUACCGUGUAACGCCUCUCCGCAUCGUUUAGCUUGCGACUCUCAAAUGCGAUUGGGUACCUUUCUUUCAUAAGGACUCCCCCAAUAGCGAAGUCUGAGGCAUCUGUGUGUACCUCAAAGACCUUGGUGUGGUCGGGUAGUGCCAACACUGGCUCCUCAGUCACAGCCUUCUUCAGGUCCUCAAAGGCUUGUUGGCACCUUUCAUCCCAUUCCCAUGCCUUAUUCUUCUUAAGAAGAUCAGUGAGUGGAGCAGCCCUUCCCGAAUAACCCUUUAUGAACCACUGGUAAUAAUUAACUAAACCAAGGAAAGAUCUGAGUUGAGGUACCUUGGUUGGUGGAUCCCACUCCUGGAUGGCUUUCACCUUGCUAUCAUCCAUCAUUAGCUUGCCAUCUCUGAUGCGAUGCCCUAGGAAGCUCACUUUCUCCUUAGCAAACGAGCACUUCUCCUUCUUCACGUAUAGCUUGUUCUGCCUCAAGAUCUUAAAGACCUUCCUCAAGUGCUCUUCGUGCUCCUUUAGAGUGUUACUAUAGAUGACUAUGUCAUCCAAGUACACCACCACGAACUUGUCCAAGUAUGGGUGGAAGAUCUUGUUCAUGAGGGUGCAAAACGUUGUUGGGGCAUUGGUGAGUCCGAAAGGCAUCACUAAGAACUCAUAUGAGCCAUACCUGGUCACACAUGUAGUCUUCGGCUCAUCUCCCUCCGCAAUCCUGACUUGGUAGUAGCCUGACCUUAAGUCCAGCUUUGUGAAGUACCUUGCCCUUCCAAGUUGAUCGAACAAGUCAGCAAUGAGCAGGAUGGGAUACUUGUUUUUCACCGUCACCUUGUUGAGUGCCCGGUAGUCGAUACACAUCCGUAGGGAUCCAUCGUGUUUCUUUUGAAACAAGACCGGCGCGCCAUAAGGAGCCUUGGAUGGUUGGAUGAACCUCGCAUCUAGCAACUCCUUGAGUUGUCUUCUUAGUUCCUCCAACUCGGGUGGUGCCAUCCUAUAUGGCCCCAUAGCAGGGGGCUUGGCUCCCGGCUCCAGCUCAAUCUUGUGAUCUUCCUCUCUCCUAGGAGGAAGUCUCUUGGGCAACUCGGGUUGCAUAACGUCCUUGAACUCAUCAAGGACCCCCUCGAUUUCCUUAGGCAUGGGUCCUCCCGACCCAUCAUCCCUUUCUUCCUUAAGGGUGGCGAGGUAGGUCACCUCUUCCCUUUUUAACCCCUUUUUUACUUGCAUAGCGGAUAGCAUAGAGGUCUUGAGCGUACCUUCAAUGACCGUAGGGACCAUGCAUGGCUUCUCCUCCUCUAGGAUAGCCAUUGAGCGUAAGAAAGGUAGUGGCACGGCCUUGACCUUCUGUAGGAAGUCCAUUCCUAGCACCAUCUUGAAGUCGUCCAUGGGUGCCACUGUGAAGUCGACCCUUCCUUCCCACGAGCCAAUGUGCAUAGUCACCCCGCGAGCUACUCCAUGUGAUGGCUUAGCGGUUGAAUUAACUGCCUUGAGCCAUCCUCCUUCCUUGGAUGCUUGGAGCUCCAGCCUUCUUGCCUCAUCUUCCGAGACAAAGUUGUGAGUGGCACCUGUGUCCACCAGGGCCUUGGUGGCCUUCCCAUUCACAAGGGCCUCCACAUACAUCAGCCCCUUGCAUUGAGGCAUCCUAGGCAUCGGCUUGGCCUUAAGGGCAUUCAGGAGCUGCAAUGAUCCCAUCUUAGCAUUGCCUUCCUGCUCCUUCUCCUCGAUCAUAGCAUUUAAAGCCUUCCUCUUAGGGCAGUCCCGUGCCCAUUGCGGACCAUCGCACAAGAAGCAAUUGGUCCUGGGCGUGAACUCCUUUCGCUUGUCCUUGCCUUUGCUAUCCUUGCCACUAGGGCCUUUGCUUGAUCUUUCCUUAGGAGUGUGGCCCUGCGACCUCUUAUCUCCCCCACCUUUAGCCUGGUUACCCUUGGAUGGUGGCUUGGGCUUGGAAGAGUCUCCCCUUCUAUAAUCCACCAAGGACUCGGCUACUGCCAUGGCCGUGGCUAGGUCUUGGACACCACGUCUCCUCAACUCUUGCUCGGCCCAACUUUGCAGGUUGUCCAUGAAGUUAAAUAGUAGCUCCUCCUUAGCCAUGUUAGGUAUCUCAAGCAUAAGAGUAGAGACUUCUUUGACAUACUCACGGAUCGAGCCCGUGUGCUUGAGACGCUUUAAACUCUUCCUUGCUAGGUAAGCCACGUCUUCGGGAUAGAAUUGCCUCUUGAUUUCUCUCUUGAAGGCAUCCCAUGUGUCUAUGGUGCACGUCCCUCUCUCUAUGUCGGCAAACCGUCGACGCCACCAUAGAGUAGCAUUAUCAGUGAGGUAAAGGGUCGCGGUGCGUACCUUAGUGGCUUCAUCCAUUAAUGCAAUGGCCUCAAAGUAACGCUCCAUGUGCCACAAGAAGUUAUCCAGCUCCUUGGCAUCCCUUUUGCCACUGAACGUGUGUGGCUUGGGCACCUCUACCCUUGGUGCCUCAAGAGUGGCCAUGACUCGUGCUGAUACAGCGGUCUUAUAGAUGGCCAACUCUUGUCGAAUCUCUUGGUCUCAGGCCUCCACUCGUGCAGUCAAGGCCUCCAUCCUUGACUCCACACUAGCGAACAUGCUCAUGACCUUGUCUUGGAAGGACAUGAACUCCUCGUGUGACACCGGCUGAACUUGCGAGACCAGCACCCCCUCGCGAAGGUCUUGGACCUGCUCCCUUAGAUCCUUUAAGCCCUUCUUCAUGCCUUGCUCGAUCAAGUCCACCCCUUCCCGGGUGUCUGCCAUGGCUAGCUCCACUUUGGCUAACCUUGCCUCCAUGUUGGCAACAACAUCACGAGAUGUAUCCUUCUUACCUCUGCCCCUGCCCCGUGCAGUAGGCUCGGCCUCCCUCCCACGGGUUUGUUCGCUAGUCUCCUCCACGUUAGAGCCCGACAUGCUUCCCUUAUGCCCGCUUCGUAGCCGCGCUCUGAUACCACUUGUCACGGACUUAGUCGUUUCCUAAGCUCGUGCGGCACUUAGGCAAAUCAAGACGCUUGAUCUUGCUAAGUCAGCCUUACCCCCGACACUUAGCUUGCUAGAUUAAGAUGCUCACGACUCGGAAGCUUGAGAAGUUGUAGUAGGCAACUUUUAAAGAAUGGAAGCUCUUAUUACUCAAGGAAGCCUUUACAAGUGCUUGGAAGCUCACUUGCUUGGUGACUUGGCCAAAUGAGGCCCUCACCUAUUUAUAGGCACCAAUGGAACUCUCUAGAACCUUGGAGGGUUCCUUACAAUUCAUGAAUAUUCUAGAAUGUCCUACACUAUUCUAUGUACAAGCCUAUAUACAGGAGACUUCUAGAUUUCUCUAGAAAGCUUUGGACCCUUCUCAUGCCUUCUACCAUAGUGUAGAGUUGUGUGGACUUCUCUAGGCAUUUCUAGAACCUUCCACACUCUUCCCACUAGUGGCUAAGUGUGGAUGUCUCCAAAGGUCUCUAGAAGCUUCUCACCUCCUAUAUAAGCCAUGGGGAGGGUCAUUUGAAGCAUCUUGUGACAAUGAGGCCUGGAUUUGUAGUGGGAUUUUGGGGAGUUUUUGGCCAUUUGAUAAUAAAUAGGUCUUGGAGGCGAGCCUACUUCCGGUUCCUGGAUGAGAUGAAAGAUAGAGUUAUGGUGGUUAUCACAGAGAAUGUAGCAUGUCUGCAAAAGAAAUGCAAAUAGGAAAGAAAACAUCAUCAAACUUGAACAGAUAUCCAUCAACAAGCUUUCUAGCUAAAAUAACAGUCUCUAUGUGUCAGUGGUUUGCUUCAUGUACUUCCUCCUAACACAAUAAAACAUUGGUUAAUUAAGAGCUUUUCUUCCAACCUUGAUAGACUGGUAUAUCUGCUUGCAUCUGUGGUAUUCUUCUUCUUCUACAGGUUUUUCUUCCUUUUGAUUUAGUGAAGUAGUAGAACCUUAGCCCCCUGCUAGGCAAUCUGAUAACUUUGCUGAACAGUGGGAGAAGUGGAUUACUACCUCGCAUCGAUAUACGAUCUCAACCCCAGAUGAAAGAUGAAAUGUAAGGUGUCAACCUCCAGUUGCAUUUUGGGAUACAAACACCUUACAUGCUUCGUAAUUUUAUGGCUAAAUUGUAAUAUAUGCUAUCAACUAUGUGUGAUACCCAGAGAGCUAAUAACUAUUACUGCUAAAUCAUAAUAUUACUGCUAAAUCAUACUUAACCCCAUGAGGAAAGCUCGGACUCCACUCAUUUUUCAACAAAAAGGCAACGCGAUAGAAAAUCCCAGUUGUCAAAUUCAAUGCGCGUAAGACUAGGCCCAUAAGAGCCUGGGAGACCAAGGCCACCAGCAGCCACAACCUGGGCAGCACGCCCUGACCCUAUGGUCACCCCCAUGGUGCAGAACGUGCUCCCGCACCGUGACCCUAUGGUCACCCCCAUGGUGCGGAACGUUCACUCGCACCUAGUGACGCGACAAGAUGGGAGAAACCUCCCAAACGAGCCACCCAUUGGCUCCAUUAGCAAAAUGCUGGACGACAUGCUCUCCACGCCUUUCUGCUCUCAUAUCAUUCAUUACGAGCCCCCAAGGGGAUUCUUCGUACCAAAAUUUUCCACAUACGAUGGGUCCAACGACCCCUUCGAGCAUAUCAUGCAUUAUCGACAGCUCAUGACGCUCGAUAUUGGCAACGACGCAUUGCUGUGCAAAAUAUUACCCACCAGCCUACAAGGGCAAGCCCUCUCAUGGUUUCAUCGCCUACCUCCCAACUCUGUUGACAAUUUCAGAGAUCUAUCCGAAGCUUUCGUAGGACAAUACUUAUGCUCUGCUCGACAUAAGCAGAACAUCAACACUCUGCAAAACAUAAAAAUGCAAGAUAACGAAUCCUUAAGGGAGUUCGUAAAGCGGUUUGGUCAAGCUGUACUUCAGCUAGAGGCUUAUAGCAUGGAUGCUGUCCUGCAGAUCUUCAAACAAAGCAUCUUUCCAGGCACCCCAUUUUUCGAAUCGCUAGCUAAAAAGCCUCCUACAACGAUGAACGACUUGUUCAGAUGUGCAAGCAAAUACUCAAUGCUCGAAGAUGACGUACGAGCAGCCACCCAGUAAGUCCUGGUUGUUGGACAGGCAACUAGAAGUGGCACAGAAAGAAGUGCCAAACUUCCGGACCGGCCAAGGCCGUCCGAUCGAAGGUAGGAAGGGCCAAGUCGCCCGAAAAGGCCGCCCCUCACAUCUCUCUCCAUAUCAUAUGAGAAACUUCUCCCUAUGAUCCAAGGCUUGUCCGACUUCAGAUGGCCUAGACCCCUCGGAACGGACCCAUCCAAAAGAGAUCAUAACAAGAAAUGUGCCUUCCACAAGGAGUAUGGUCACACAACGGAAGAAUGCAGGUGCCUCCAUUAUUUGGUCGAAAGGCUCAUAAGGGCGGGGCAUUUAAAGCAAUACCUCCGCUCAGAUGCCGGAGGUAGAGACGCUUCCCAAAAUCACAACUCUGGAGCCCCCAAGGCCCCAGCCGCCUCUAAGGCCAUUAUAAACUACAUUAACGAAGGCCCAUCUGAAGAGGAGUAUGACUCCAAACGAAAGAGACAAAAGUUGUUGCGGGCUGCAUCGGUGCGUGAGCGUAUCAACUCCAUCUGACCUGGGUUAACUGGGGGGAGCCCUCGCCCCAUAGAUGGAACAAUCAUUUUCCCACCAGUAGACCCCACCCGAACACUGUAGCCACAUCGCGACGCCCUCAUCCUAUCCCUAGAGAUAGGAGACUUCGACGUGAGACGCAUUCUGGUUGACCCGGGCAGCUUGGCCGAUCUUGUGCAAGCAUCGGUCGUUAGCCACAUGGGACACAGUCUCACGGGCCUUGAAAACCCUGGGCGAAUCCUGUCUGGAUUCAACGAAUCGUCAACUACUUCCUUGGGAGACAUUGUACUGCCGGUCCAAGCUGGCCCAAUCACUCUCAAUGUACAAUUUUCGGUGGUACAAGAUUUAUCGCCUUUCAAUAUCAUCUUGGGGCGCACAUGGCUACACUACAUGAAAGCCAUCCCCUUUACAUAUCAUCAAUUGGUGAGUUUCCUUACCAACGAUGGGCAAAUUGACCUCUAUGGCGGCCAGUUAGCCGCUCGCCAAUGCUACCAGAUAGCACGAGAAACAGGGACCAGCCAGGAGGAUGCAUCCCUCCCUGAGUCCAACCAUGCGCGUGACCAAUAGCAAUUAUUGGGUCCGAUGGACAAGGAUCCCCCAACAGCAGAUCCCUUGCAAACAAUCCAAAUUUCGGAAGAAGGUACUCACCUUACAAAGAUCAGUUCCCUUCUGACACCAGAAGAGACCCGAAACAGGCAGAAUGCCCUCAGAAAAAACCAUGACAUCUUCGCAUGAGCACAUUCUGAUAUGAAAGGAAUUCAUCCCUCCAUCACCUUUCAUAGGCUUAACGUCUUACAAACAGCCAGACCCAUCCGGCAAAAGGUGAGACGUUUCCACCCGAACAUACAAGAAAUUAUCCGGAAUGAGGUUGACAAAUUGCUAGAAGCCGGAUUCAUCAGAGAAGUGGAUUACCCGGACUGGUUGGCAAAUGUAGUGGUGGUACCCAAAAAAGAAGGCAAAUGGCAAGUGUGCGUCGAUUACACCAACCUCAAUAAUGCAUGCCCCAAAGACAGUUUUUCUUUGCCAUGAAUAGACCAAAUCGUAGACUCCACUGCUGGGCAAGGGAUGCUCUCAUUUUUGGACGCCUUCUCCGGCUACCACCAAAUUCCCAUGUCCCCGGCUGACGUAGAAAAAACAGCCUUCAUAACUCCACAUGGUCUCUAUUGCUACAGAGUCAUGCCAUUUGGACUCAAAAACGCUGGCGCCACCUAUCAAAGACUGAUGACAAAGAUCUUCAAACCUCUGGUCGGCCGCAUAGUAGAGGUAUAUAUUGACGACAUUGUGGUUAAAAGCAAAACCCAGGAGGAGCAUUUCCUCCAUUUACAAGAAGUCUUCCAACUCUUAAAGAAGUAUGACAUGAAGCUAAAUCAUUUCAAAUGUGCUUUUAGCGUAAGUGUUGGCAAAUUCCUGGGAUUUAUGGUCAGCCAAAGAGGAAUAGAGGUUAGCCUGGAUCAAGUCAAGGCAGUCAUGGAAACACCUCCUCCCAGGAGCAAGAAGGAGUUACAACGCCUUACAGGCAAGCUCGUCGCGCUAGGACGUUUUAUAGCCCGUUUCACUGAUGAACUUCGACCUUUUUUCUUGGCAAUACGAAAGGCUGGAGCAAAUGGAUGGACGGAUAACUGUCAAAACGCUUUUGAAAAAAUUAAACACUGCCUUAUGCAGUCGCCCAUCCUAAGCAGCCCCAUUCCUAAAGAAAAAUUGUACAUAUAUCUGGCUGUAUCAGAGUGGGCAAUCAGCGCUGUCCUAUUCCGCUGCCCUUCACCCAAGGAGCAGAAACCUAUCUACUAUGUCAGCAGAGUGUUGGCGGACGUAGAAACUAGGUAUUCAAAAAUGGAACUAACGGCCUUAGCCCUUCGGAGUGCCGCCUAGAAGCUUCGCCCCUAUUUCCAAGCCCACCCGGUGGUCGUGCUAACUGACCAACCCCUUCGUAACAUUCUGCACAAGCUAGACUUAACCGGAAGAAUGCUUCAGUGGGCCAUAGAAUUGAGCGAAUUUGGAAUUGAGUUCCAACCUAGAUUGUCCAUGAAAGACCAAGUAAUGGCUGACUUCGUACUAGAAUGCUCUCAAAGGCCCAACCAAUGCCAGGAACCAAAUGAAGAAGAAUGGUGGACUUUGCGGGUCGAUGGAGCCUCACGAUCAUCGGGGUCCGGAGUCGGGCUUCUGCUACAAUCCCCAAUAGGGGAACAUCUGGAGCAAGCCAUCCUGCUGGGAUUCCCCGUUUCUAACAAUGAAGCAGAAUAUGAAGCCAUCCUAUCCGGAUUGGACCUCGCCCUGGCUCUAUCCGUCUCCAAGCUCCGUGUCUAUUGCGAUUCUCAACUUGUGGUCAGACACGUCCAGAAGGAAUACAAAGCUAAAGAUGAGCGCAUGGCGCAAUACCUAGCUAAGGUGAGAGAUACCUUACAACGAUUCACUGAGUGGACGAUCGAAAAAAUCAGACGAAUUGAAAAUGGGCGCGUCGAUGCCUUGGCAGGCAUAGCUGCCUCCCUUCCCAUCAAAGAAGCCAUAUUUUUGCCUAUACAUGUGCAAACCAACUCUUCCAUUGCAGAAACCUCCACUUGCAAUACCAUUGAGGCACGCCAACCAGACAGCCAAGAAUGGACGAACGACAUUAUAAAAUACCUCCGGAUAGGCACUCUGCCCGAGGAUGCCAAACAGGCACACAAGAUUCGAGUGCAAGCCGCCCGCUUUACCCUGAUUGGGGGGCACCUGUACAAACGAUCUUUUACAGGUCCCUACCUUCGAUGCUUAAGUCAUUCAGAGGCCCUGUAUGUAUUAGCAGAAUUGCACGACGGAGUAUGUGGAAAUCAUUCUGGAGGACGAUCUCUAGCGCACAGGGCCCAUUCUCAAGGAUAUUAUUGGCCCACGAUGAAGAAGGAUACAGCAGCCUACGUCAAAAAAUGCAACAAAUGUCAACGACAUGCCCCCAUACCACAUAUGCCGUCGGAGACGCUGAAACCAAUUUCAGGUCCCUGACCCUUCGCGUAGUGGGGUAUGGACAUAGUAGGCCCCUUACCAACCGCACCCGCUCAAAAGAAAUUCAUGCUCGUCGCCACGGAUUACUUCAGUAAAUGGGUGGAAGCCGAAGCAUACGCUAGCAUCAAAGACAAGGAUGUCACCAAGUUCGUGUGGAAAAAUAUCAUCUGUCGCUUCGGAAUCCCCCAAACCAUUAUAGCCAACAAUGGACCACAGUUUGAUAGCAUAGCCUUCUGAAAUUUCUGUUCGGAACUGAACAUCCGGAAUUUAUACUCCACACCGCGUUAUCCUCAAAGUAAUGGGCAAGCAGAAGCCACAAACAAGACUCUAAUCACUGCCUUAAAGAAAAGGCUCGAGCAAGCUAAAGGAAAAUGGGUGGAGGAGCUACCCGGUGUCCUAUGGGCUUAUUGAACCACACCCGGACGUCCGACAGGAAACACUCCCUUCGCCCUCACAUACGGUAUGGAUGCAAUCAUUCCUAUCGAAAUAGGGUUACCCACUAUCCGGACUAAGGCAGGAAAGUAGGAUGAUGCAAACGCGGAGUUAGGAAGAAACUUGGACUGGGCAGAUGAAGUAAGGGAAAACGCAUCCAUCCGGAUGACAGACUAUCAACAAAGGGCAUCCGCUCAUUAUAAUCACAAAGUAAGACCCAGAAGCUUCAAAAAUGGUACACUGGUACUUAGAAAAUUUUUUGAAAAUACUGCUGAAACAGAAGCAGAAAAAUUUCAAGCCAACUGGGAAGGACCCUAUAUAGUAUCUAAGUCAAGUGAAAGUGGAGCUUAUCAUCUACAAAAGCUAGACGAAACUCCAUUACUCAGACCGUGGAAUGUGUCCAAUUUAAAGCAAUAUUACCAGUGAAAAAAAGAGACAAGUACAGAUAUGAAAAAGUAUGUUUUAUUGAUAUUUGUAAAAGUUAUAUACAAAGAGUUCUCCGGACUACAAGAUAUAGAGAGAAGAUAGCAGUAAAAAUUACAAAAAGAAAAGCUCUCAUUGAGCAGGCUUGCUGCGCAGCUUUUCCUUCUCGCCUGGAGGUAUUGAAGGGACGUCCCGCUUGAUUCCAUGUUUCUUCAUACAGUAGCGAUAGUCGAAGAAGUACAUUUCAUCUACUUGCUUCUGGUAGUCCACUUCAAGUUCCUCCCUUUCUGCAGCAAACUCACCAUCCAGCUCCUCUUUUUGCGUUGUUAAGCGCAGCUGCAAAUCUUCUUUCUGCUUUUUCUCAAUGGACAUUUCUGUCCGGAAUUGCCUCACUUCCCCCCUCAGCUGGGCCAUCUCGUCCUCCGCCUCAAGCAGGCGGGCAUCCAUAGAUUCCUCUCGGCUUUUUGCCUUAGCUAGCUCUGCCCAGAGAGCCUCGUUGUCUCCUCGAGCGGCGAAUAAACUGGCUUCGGCCUCCUCCAGUCUCAAGCGCACCUUAUCUUCACUAUUUCUGCACUGAGAGGCGAAGACCUUUAUGUAAUCAACGGUCCGUAGCAAGUCAGUAAACAGAUUAUGUUGUUGGACCAUGCCGCGAAGACCACUCACCAGCUGCAAAAAAACACGCAAAAAGAAGAACAAAGUUACAAACCAUGCCACAAACAUAUCAGUAUGGCAAGAAAAAUUAAGAAGGAAAACUAUACCGUUUCCACCACUUUGAACAUUUUUGCUGAAGGCAUGACAACGUCUGAGUCGGGUGGAAUCUGUUUCAACUUCUCUUCCAACUCCGCAUAGCUGAAAGCAUUAGCAGAGAUGCAAGUUGCAUCAUCAACUGGAUUCCCCCCCUGAUGAAGCAUUGAAGAGUGACUCCUCCUCCGGGUCUGGGGCCCCAUCAGUCUCGGCCGGCUAGGUCGCUCCGGGCGAACCCCCAUCCGGGACCACCACCGGGGCAGGUGGGUUCUCUACUACCAUCUCCGCCUCGCUCUCCUCCGGAUGAUCAUCCUAGACGGACGAGUAACUGACUUCGAUGGUUUCUAAGAACCGAUCCUGAAGCUGCCCGAUGAGGCCAGACUUUAGGUCUCGCGUCGGAUGCGACCUCCUUCUAGCCGACCCUUUCACUGGUACAAGGGCAAGGGGGCUUGGCCCGCAAGAAGGCAAACUCUAGCUCUCUAUCCCCAUUUCCUCCAUUGGGGAUGCCGUAGGAGGCAAUGCUGCAGCGCAAGAAGCCUCGGCUGCGUCCCCAUCCGGAUGGGGAGAGCCGGGUUGAUUUAUUGAAGUAGCUUCUUCAGCUAGAAGAGCCAGACGACCAACCACUGACAUUGAAGGGCCUGAGUGGUUUAGACCCGCGAGAUGUCCGGACCGCUUGAAAUAGAGGGCGGGACCGGGUGUUCCGGCUCUCUUAUUGUCACUUCCUUCACAUAAGUUGAAGGAGGAAUUACAAACUCCUUCGGAGGAGUUGGGGGUUUUAAUUCUUUCCCCUUAUUUGAAACUUUCUUCUCCUUCUUUGCUGGAGCGCCAGCAGGUGGAGACGAUGCGGGCCGCUUGCCACCCGAAGCCUUCCGCAAAAGCCCUUAUUUCCUUUUUACCUCCCGGUUAUUGAGACGGGCUUUGCGGGUCCGGGCGGACGCCUUCUGCACUGCCGCGUAGAGUGGCAGGUCUUGAAGAACGAAGUGCUCCCCAACCACCACCUCUUUAGGCAGCUGCCUUGGGAGUAUGUUCAACAUGUACGGCUGGGGCUCCUGCAUAACCGAACGGAGGUUUUGCGCAGAGAGCAGUGUGUCACAACUCCGUUCGACCGCCGCAAUUUCGAAAAGCCUGUUCAAACGAUCGAACGAGGCCUUCUUCACCCACUCCACCAGUUUUCCCCUUUUAUCCAGGCCUACACUCAAGAAAGUAAAAUAUGUUAGCAACCCAACAAUGCUGACCUAAACUCACAAAUCAUGGUAAAAACAGGAAGUCAUUUAGUCAUACCUGGGACCUUCAACGACUGGUUGGGGGCGAACGGCCUGUCCGGAUGCAUUGCCAAACCCGCCCAUACGCCUUUGACCAACACAUGUCCCUUGGCGGCCCCCUUGGUCGAGUCCGGAAGGCUGGUCACCAAUUGCAGGGACGGAAGGCAAGCGACAAAGCUGAAGAUGUCACUCUUCACCUUCUUGAUUGAAUAGAUGAAGAGAACCUCCAGCAUAACAGGUCCAAAUUGAACAACAUGCUUAGGAUGCUGCACCCCAUCAGCACCCGGACCAUAUUAGGAUGAAUAUACGCCGGAGGAAUUUGGGUGAAGUGCAGAAACUCCUUGAACAAAGACGGUAGGGGAAACCGGAGCCCAGCGUUGAACUGCUCCUUGCUAAAGCAAAUAGCGUGGUCUUCACCCUUCUCAGUCGACACAACCUCCCCAUUAGUCAAUUCAACAGAUACACCGUUGGGGAUACAAAACCGUUCGCGGAAUUCCUUCACACUCUAUUUAUCCACAGACUUCUCGGCAUAAGCAUCGCCAGACAGGCCAGAUGAGGUCGCUUCCUGGUUCCCAGACAUUUUUUAGCCUUGUACUAAAAUGAAAUCUGCAUAGAAGAGGUACCAACAGUCAAAACACAGUAAAAAACCCCCCGAAAAAACCCUCGAAACUACUGACAACACCUAGUGGCAAAACACCUUGCCCAAGCAAACCAGAAACAACCAACAGGACAAAACGCAACAAGGAAAAGACAAGAACAAAUGUACGUACCGAGCGUAAAGAUGGAAGAAUAGGGUUGAAAACUGCAAAUGCAGUCACCGUCAAAACGCAAAAAUCACCAGCAGAAAACCCUAGGGCUUCACUCGGAAACGAAGGAACGCCGAAGGUAGAAGAAGAAACACUAACAAAAAAAUGCAGUAGGAAAAAUGCAAACAGAAGGCACAGUAUGCUAUUUAUACAGUGACAACCCCUCGGUAUACCAAAUGCUCAGCUACGCCAUCAUUGAAACGACACGCUACCUGGGAAUACACAGAGACGACGGCUCAUCAUAAAUGCUCUUCUCUCUCUUUGCCCCCGCUCGCCACGUGGCCCAAUGAGCGCAAAAAGUAACCUCAGUUUCAAAAAACCAAUUAUUUUUAACCCGCCCAUUCUGCUCAGGCAGAUUAGGUAAGUUAAAAAGGGGGGCAUUGUAGGGACCCCUCCUCACACGUGGCACACAUCUCCUGAUGACACGUGACACACAUUCUCAUCCGGAUUAAUCUCAUCCGGAUUUCCCCAAGAGUACACGUGACGCGCUUCUCUUAUCCGGACUCCCUCAAGGAGAGGCACACGACACUCACAAACAUAACAUUCAGAUGACUGCCACAACGCACCCGGAUGACCGACAUAUACUAUCCGGAUAUGUUUGUCCGGAUCAUUGACUGAAGUAAGCAAGUCUUACACGUUAUCACAACAGCCUGCCAUGGCCCACGUUCCGCCACCUGCAGAGUGAAAGGACAGGAAUGAAGUGACGACAAGUCACUUCCCACGAUCUCUGAUAGCCGCGACGCCUCCCACUAUCUCUGUCAGCCACCCGUAGGGUGAUGAUGGCCCUGCCACCACCUAGUGGCAUCAUGAUAAUCCAAAAUAUCUCUUUACCAUUAAAGAGGGAAACAAAGCUUCUGGUACUAUAUAUAUGAACCUUCACACAAAGAAGAAGGUAAGCCUGCUAUACCUAGUAAAAGGCCAACUGAUUUAUCUCUCUUGCCAUGGCUGACAAAACCAUCGGAGGGUCGUCCGGACACCCUGUCCGGACGCCUUUUGCAGGUGCGACUGAAUCAAGAAUCUAUAUGGGUUGAGAUCGUAUGUCCAUCCAUUUGGCAACUACGUGGAUCAUUAGGGACGUGAGGCCUCAACAAUUAUCUCCUCAGGGUUUCUUUUCCAUGAAAUCCUUAAACCAGGCUGCUGCCGUGGUGAUCACCAUAGGGCAGCCUCCUUUGAAACUGAGAGGGUAGUUCUUCUCAAGUUCAAACAAGGCCUUACAGAUUCUUCUCAUCGACUCUCAUCUUGGGUAGGGGAAGACUGCUGCAAAUGGAGAGGCGUCAUCUGCAACCACAAGAGUUUACAUGUCAUCAAACUCAAUCUGCGUAGUCUUAAUGAUGAUGGAACACAUGGCAAGUUGGGCGAUGAGAUCAGUCAUUCUUUGAAAUAUUUGAAUCAGUUAGACCUGAGCCUGAAUAAUUUUGAAGGGACUCGAAUCCCCAAGCUCAUUGGUUCAUUGGAAAAGUUGAGAUAUCUCAAUCUCUCCGGUGCCUCCUUCAGUGGACCGAUUCCUCCACAACUUGGAAAUCUUUCCAGGUUGAUCUACCUUGACAUCAAGGAAUACUUUGAUUUCAAUACAUACCCUGAUGAGUCAAGCCAGAAUGAUCUUCAGUGGAUAUUGAGUCUUUCUUCUUUAAGACACCUUAAUUUAGGAGAAGUCAAUCUAAGUAGAGCUUUUGCUUAUUGGCUUCAUGUUGUUAGCAAGCUUCCUCUUUCCGAGUUGCAUCUACCUAGUUGUGGACUUUCUGUCCUCCCUCGUUCUCUCCCAUCUUCCAAUCUUACAUCCCUUUCAAUGCUUGUUCUCUCCAACAAUGGUUUCAACUCCACAAUACCCCACUGGCUAUUCCAGCUGGGGAAUCUUGUGUACCUUGAUCUCAACUUUAACAAUCUUCGAGGCUCAAUUUUAGAUGCAUUUGCAAACAGGACUUGUCUUGAAAGUUUAAGAAAGAUGGGUAGCCUAUGCAAUUUAAAAACAUUGAUCCUUUCUGAGAAUGAUUUGAAUAGGGAAAUAACUGAAAUGAUUCAUGUUUUAUCUGGGUGCAACAAGUGUAGUUUAGAGAACCUGAAUCUGGGAUUGAAUGAACUGGGUGGUCUUCUUCCUAAUUCACUAGGAAACCUGUGCAACUUGCAGUCUCUUCUGCUUUGGGAGAACUCCUUUGUAGGCUCGAUUCCGAAUUCAAUAGGAAACUUGUCGCAUAUGAAAGAGCUAUACCUAUCUAAUAAUCAAAUGAAUGGGACCAUUCCAGAAACACUUGGACAACUUCAUGAGUUGGCUGCCUUAGAUGUCUCUGAGAAUUCAUGGCGGGAAGGUGUUCUAAUGGAAGCCCAUUUGUCAAAUCUCACAAACCUAAAGGAGUUGUCCAUCGCUAAAUUUGCAUCUCGGUCCAGACCUCAAAUUGGUCAUCCAUAUCAGUACUGAGUGGAUUCCUUCUUUCAAGCUCCAAUACCUGAAGCUGAGAUUGUCAAGUAGGUCCUAAAUUUCCAGUUUGGCUUAGAAACCAAAAUGAGCUUAACACUAUAAUACUUAGGAAUGCUCGAAUAUCAGACACCAUACCAGACUAGUUUUGGAAGUUAGACUUGGAGUUGGAUCAACUGGACCUGGGCUAUAAUCAAUUAAGUGGCACAAUUCCAAACUCAUUAAAGUUUGGUCCUCAAUCCUCAGUUUAUUUGAAUGUGAACCAUUUCAAUGGUUCUUUGCCACUUUGGUCAUCAAAUGUGACUAGCCUAUUUUUGAGAAAUAAUUCCUUUUCUGGGCCAAUUCCUCAGGAUAUCGGGGAAAGUAUGCCCAUGCUGACAGAGUUAGAUCUCUCUCAUAACUCUCUAACUGGAACCCUUCCCGUGUCCAUUGGUAAACUACAUGGUUUAAUGAUUCUGUAUAUCAUUUGUCUGGAGAAAUUCCUGCAUUGUGGAAUGGUGUUCCUAAUCUGGUGGUGCAUGUUGACCUGUCGAACAACUGAUCUGGUGAGCAUCCAACUUCAGUGGGUUCUCUGACCUACCUCAUAUUUUUAACGCUGAGCAACAAUCAUCUUUCUGGGGAACUUCCUUCUGCCUUGCAGAAUUACACAAACAUCCGUACUCUUGAUCUUGGAGGCAACAGAUUUUCAGGAAAUAUUCCGACAUGGAUUGGACAAACAAUGCCAAGUCUUUGGAUUCUAGGACUAGGAUCAAAUUUGUUUAAUGGGAGCAUUCCAUUACAACUAUGCACUCUUUCCUCUCUUCACAUAUUGGAUCUUGCCCAAAACAAUCUGUCAGGAUCUAUUCCCUCUUGCGUGGGGAAUUUAAGUGCUAUGGCAUCCGAAAUUGGAUCAUAUAGAUAUGAGGCUGAUUUGAUGGUGAAAGGAAGGGAAGAUUCAUAUAGAAACAUUCUCUAUCUUGUGAAUAGCAUAGACUUGUCCAACAAGCCUAUCUGGAGAUGUGCUUGGAGGGCUAACAAAUCUUUCAAGAUUAGGCACCUUGAACUUGUCUAUGAACCAUAUAACAGGAAAAAUACCAGACAACAUUGGGAGCUUACAAUGGUUGGAAAAUCUAGACCUCUCAAGAAACUAGCUUUCUGGUCUAAUUCCAGCAGGUAUGGCUUCUUUGACUCUCUUUAAUCACUUGAACCUGUCCUAUAACAACCUGUCAGGUAGAAUUUCAACAGGCAACCAGCUGCAAACCCUGGAUGAUCCAUCAAUAUACAGGCACAACCUUGCACUAUGUGGGCGUCCGAUAACAGCUAAGUGUCCUGGUGAUGAUGGAACCCCCAAUCCUCCCGGUGGAGAUGAUGAAGAAGACGAUGAAGAUGGAGCUGAGGUUGAAAUCAAGUGGUUCUACAUGAGCAUGGGAACAGGAUUUGUGGUGGGGUUUUGGGGAGUUUGUGGCACCUUAGUAGUUAAGGAGUCAUGGAGCCUAUUUUAGGCUUGUCUGUGACAUCAAAGAGUGGCUGCUUCUAGUUAUUCAGUUGAAUGUUACCCAUCUGCAAAGAAAACUGAAUUUGGGAAGAAGCCAGUAUCAUACUUGAACAACCUUCUGGAAUUAAGUUCCCGAAAUAAAUGAAUGCUUCUAUGUAGUUCAGCACUUCAGCUUCAUGUACAACCUUCUGAAAUAUGAAGUUUUGAUUCCAAGUUUUUUCAAACGCUUGGUCUUUUAUUUUUCUAUCUUUUGGUCACAAGUAUAUUUACUCACAUAUCGGAGACUUGCCCAAAAUAAAUAAAUGAGCUAAUAAACAACGAAGGCGAUGUCGGAUUCCCAGCAUUGCUUUGUUUCCUAUCAUCUUUUCAACACAACUCUUGACAGGGAAGCAGAUUAUGAUGAAAAAUUUAAUUAGAAGAAAAAAAAAAGGGUGCAAAUAUAGAAUCAUGGGCACAAUUGUUCAAGCUGAUCACCCACACUCCUGAGCCAUGAUUUAGUCUUUUUUUUUUUUUUUGGUGGCUGAAUCAUCGUACUACUCCAGUGUGCAUCCCUUAAAAUUUUCAAACAAUUUGCACAGGUCAAACAAAAGGAAUCAUUUCGUCCAACACUGAAUGGGUGGCAGCUUGCUUCAUAAUGAGAAAUAGAAAUCCACGAGGUUUCCAAGCUCAUUAUGACACAUUCUAUACUCCAACUACUAUGCAAAAUAAUGAAGUUUUGCACAAGUAUCCCAAGACUAGACCUUUGUAGAGCUCCUUGGAAAAUGACUUUGAAACAUGUUAAAAGCACCUCUUAACACAACCUUUUUUUUUUCCACACGCUUUUUCUCCUCUUGUCCUCUAAGAUAGCUAAAUGGAAGAGGGUCAAUGUCCACUACUGACUUGGGGUCAAUGCUAAGGACAACAACUUAAGAUAAUUAAUCUUGAAUUGUUCAAACUUGCAGUCAACUUUUACCUAACAUACCAACUGGUUUUAGGGUCUAAAAUUCCAAUAUGAACAAGGGUACCACAAAGGUUUCUUUUCAUUGUAGGAGGAGAAAACAUCGUCUAAUAAUUUAUGAUGACAUUCCAUUUCUAAUAAGUACCCUUGUGGACUAAAUUAGAGGAUAUGGUAAAAACUAGGUCUUGCUGCAAUUUAGGUCUUCACUUAAAAGGCUUAAAAGUAAGUCCUAUUGUACUCAAGUUAAAAUAAGCACUUAGAUAUUGGACCCAUUUUAAGGGUAUUGUGGAACUUUGCUCUUCUAAAGUGAGUACCCUAUAUUUGACUAAUUCCUCGCAUGGAGGCAAAGAAUGCUCAUCCUAGCUAGCAGACUUAAAUCUCUCUUAUAAAACUCUCAAAAUGACACUAUUCCCUUGUCCAUGAGUAAAUUAAAUGCUCCAAUAACUAUCUCAAACAAUUAUUUAUAAGAAGGAGAUCUUUACUAAAGAGUGCCUUAAAUUUUUAAUUGGUAUAUAAUCCAUGCUGUAAAGAACAUUAUGUAUAAACUAUAUCAUUAUAAUAAUAGAUUUCUUUAUAAAGUAAGAAAAAUCAUUAUAAUUAUCUCUAUAAAUAUUUUAAGUCACGAGGGAAAAAAUUAUCAUGAGAUGGAGAUGAGUUUGUAAUAACUAUACAUUGUAGAUGGAGAUAAGGGAAAAAGUUGGAGACACUCAGUGAAUCAAGGACUUGCAGUUCAAGGUAUACAUAUAAGGAACGGGAAAACAUGGGAAGUUUCAAGGUUCAAUAAUAUCUGUUUGUUUGUUUUUUUUUCUAUUCUCUAAAAUAUUUUUUGUGAUAUACUGUAAUGAUUUUCUUUCAUCCAUUGAUGUAAGAAUGAUUGAUUGUACUACUGAAAAAUAUGACAUACCUUUAUGUAUUGAUUAUUUUAUCCUUUUGUCACUAAUAUAUAUUAGUAUUAAAGUAUAAUCAUGAACGUUAAAAGCUCAUGUACUUUUAUAUGUAAAUUGUUUUAUUUUUGUGUUAUUAUACUAAUGUGUUGGGAUCAUGGAUGGAAAUAUUGUUUUUCACGAAUAUAUCAAUAAUUUUAUUUUACAUAUAAUAGAUAUAUUGGAAAUAUUAGUGGAUUUAUUAAUACAAAAUAUUGAUGAGAAAAAUUUAAUAAAAACUAAAAAAAAGAAGAAGAAAAGUUUCAAAAAAAAUUGUAGAAAAAGAAAUAAUACAUAUGUUUAAGUUAUUUUAUUGAACAAUAUGAUUGCUAUAUGUACAUCAAUAUUUAAAAAUUAAAAUACAUUAUAUUUAUAUUUUUGAAAUAAUUUUGUUGGAAGAUAUUGAUAAUAUUUUUCUAAAAUAAGAAUUUAUUACAAUCUAAUUUUUUCAAAGUAAGAAAAAAUCUAUAUUUGUAAUGAAUUAAUCAUUGCAUUGAAUUCUAUUUCAUAAUUAGAUUAAAAGUCAAUUUCUAAUAGUGAUCAAAAUUUUUAAAAUUCUUCUUAUUUGACUUUAAGUCCAUUACUACUUGCAAAAAAUUUAAAUUUUUAUUCAAAAAAAAUCUAUAUUUAAAAUUCUAAUAAUAUUUAUAAAAAUUUUUAGAAAAAUUUAUCUUAAAUUCUUUUAAUAUAUUUAGAUUCAUUCAUUUUAAAAAUUAAAAAUUAUGAGAAAUUUAUGAGAUAAUACUGCAGCUCAAAGGACUGCCUUUCUUGGAUGCGAAUCCUGAGCCAUGGAUGAGAAAUUUAACCCUUGUGAAUGAAAUGAUCUUAUCCGGAUUGUUAAUAAUGAGAUUAUUGGAAUGAAAAUGCUUUAUAUAAUUUGAUUAUAUAGGACUGGAACAUGAUUAAUUAUGAAUCUCUGAUAAAUUCCGUUAUAAUAUAGAGCAUUCAAUAUUAAUCAAUGAUGGUCAUAUAUGCAUUGAUCUUAAUUCUGAGUGAUUAAUAGACUCAUAUUUAUUCUAUUGUAUUUUUUGACAUACCGGGUAAUGACACAAAUACAUAGUGUCAAAUUCUUGGUGUAUUGGAAGUAUAAUAAAAUAAAUAGCCGAGAAUAUUAAUAUACAAGAUGAAAUCCAUUCAUUCGUUAAGAAGUCAGAUGGACGGUUGCCAUAAGUAUUGGUUCGGGCCUUGAAUGAUAAGAGCGCUCAAUUUAUGAUUAGACCAUAAAUAUAUUAUUCAUUAGAGAACCAAUGGCACUUAAGGAGAAAGAUAUAAUUAAAGAGGUUAACGGAAAAACCUAGCUUUAAUUAUGAACCGUUUAUGGAGGAUUGACUCAUAUGUAGUGACUAUAUCAAUGGGCAAUUCAAAUCCUUUGAAUAUAUUUAAUUUUAUAAUUUUAAGAGUGCAAUUCCAAAUUUUUAGUGGAGUAAUUUUGGAAUUAAUAAUUUUGAUUUUUUAAUUAAGUUGUUAAUUAAUUGUCAAAAUUAUUGGAGCUUAAAAUUAUAAUGUCCAUAGUUCCUCUCAACGGCUCCAUUAAAAUUAUAUGAACAUUUUUUUUAUGUUGGGUUGAUUUUAUUAGUUUGGAAUUUUGAAUUCUAAAUUAAUUUCACACAAUCUUGAUUUGAUUUAUUUAUUUUAUAAUUUGAUUAUUUAAAAUAUUUUUUGAUACAAUGUGGUGAAGACCAAAUUUACUUGUAUUCCUUAAGAAACACCUUUUAAGUGGGGAUCAUGGGGAGAGAUAUUCUCUCCCAUGUUUUUCAAAAUUCAAAGAAACACUUUUUAAGUGGGGAUCAUGGGGAGAGAUAUUCUCUUCCAUGUUUUUCAAAAUUUAAAAUAUGUCAGUUAUUUUUUUCUUCGUGGUAUUAAAAAGUUUUUUUUUCUCAAUGUUUUUCGGAUGAUGGGAUGAGAAUACAAGUUUUCAAUAUAUUAAGUUGUGUGAUAAAAAAAAAAAAAAACCCAAGAAUGAAAAACGCCCACUCGUUUUGAGUUCAUCAUUUUUUGGAGAACGUUAGAGAAAGAUCCAUGGUGCUUUAGAGGAUUUGGAAUUCUAAGAUCCUUUUGGUGGAGUUCAAAUUUAUCAGCCUAAUCGCAAGGUACAAUUCUAAAUUACCUAUAUUUGUUAUUUCAUUAAAUUAAUACAAGUAUUGAUCAUUGAAAAAAAAAAAAAAAAAUUUUGAGAAAAUUUUUCUGGCUUCCGUUUUUCUUUUAAUUAUCUGGUUUCAAAACCAACACUUUUCAACACAACUCUUGACAGGGAAGCAGAUUAUGAUGAAAAAUUUAAUUAGAAGAAAAAAAAAAGGAUGCAAAUAUAGAAUCAUGGGCACAAUUGUUCAAGCUGAUCACCCACACUCCUGAGCCAUGAUUUAGCCUUUCUCUUUUUUUUUUUUCUUUUUGGUGGCUGAAUCAUUGUACUACUCCAGUCUGCAUCCCUUAAAAUUUUCAAACAAUUUGCACAGGUCAAACAAAAGGAAUCAUUUCGUCCAACACUGAAUGGGUGGAAGCUUGCUUCAUAAUGAGAAAUAGAAAUCCACGAGAUUGCCAAGCACAUUAUGACACAUUCUAUACUCCAACUACUAUGCAAAAUAAUGAAGUUUUGCGCAAGUAUCCCAAGACUAGACCUUUGUAGAGCUCCUUAGAAAAUGAUUUUGAAACAUGUUAAAAGCACCUCUUAACACAACCUUUUAUUCUAGUAUUUUUCCCCUUUUAUUUUCCACAUGCUUUUUUCUCCUCUUGUCCUCUAAGAUAGCUAAAUGGAAGAGGGUCAAUGUCCACUACUGACUUGGGGUCCAUGCUAAGGACAACAGCUUAAGAUAAUUAAUCUUGAAUUGUUCAAACUUGUAGUCAACUUUUACCUAACUUACCAACUGGUUUUAGGGUCUAAAAUUCCAAUAUGAACAAAGGUACCACAAAGGAUUCUUUUCAUUGUAGGAGGAGAAAACAAAGUCUAAUAAUUUAUGAUGACAUUCCAUUUCUAAUAAGUACCCUUGUGGACUAAAUUAGAGGAUAUGGAAAAAACUAGGUCUUGCUGCAAUUUAGGUCUUCACUUAAAAGGCUUAAAAGUAAGUCCUAUUGACUUCCAUUGCCCUUGUACUCAAGUUAAAAUAAGCACUUGGAUACUGGACCCAUUUUAAGGGUAUUGUGGAACUUUGCUCAUCUAAAGUGAGUACCCUAUAUUUGACUAAUUCCUCGCAUGGAGGCAAAGAAUGCUCAUCCUAGCUAGCAGACUUAAAUCUCUCUUAUAAAACUCUCAAAAUGACACUAUUCCCUUGUCCAUGAGUAAAUUAAAUGCUCCAAUAACUAUCUCAAACAAUUAUUUAUAAGAAGGAGAUCUUUACUAAAGAGUGCCUUAAAUUUUUAAUUGGUAUAUAAUCCAUGUUGUAAAGAACAUUAUAUAUAAAAUAUAUCAUUAUAAUAAUAGACUUCUUUAUAAAGUAAGAAAAAUCACUAUAAUUAUCUUUAUAAAUAUUUUAAGUCACGAGGGAAAAGAUUAUCAUGAGAUGGAGAUGAGUUUGUAAUAACUAUACAUGGUAGAUGGAGAUAUGGGAAAAAGUUGGAGACACUCGGUGAAUCAAGGACUUGCAGUUCAAGGUAUACAUAUAAGAAACGGGAAAACAUGGGAAGUUUCAAGGUUCAAUAAUAUCUGUUUGUUUGUUUUUUUUUCUAUUCUCUAAAAUAUUUUUUGUGAUAUACUGUAAUGAUUUUCUUUCAUCCAUUGAUGUAAGAAUGAUUGAUUGUAUUAUGUAAAAAUAUCACAUACCUUUAUGUAUUGAUUAUUUUAUCAUUCUGUCACUAAUAUAUUUUAGUAUUAAAGUAUAAUUACAUUAAAACUUCAUGUACUUUUAUAUGUGAAUUGUUUUAUUUUUGUGUUAUUAUACUAAUGUGUUGGGAUCAUGGAUGGAAAUAUUGGUUUUCACGAAUAUAUCAAUAAUUUCAUUUUACAAAUAUAUUAAGAUAUAUUGGAAAUAUUAGUGGAUUUAUUAAUACAAAAUAUUGAUGAGACAAAUUUAAUAAAAACUAAAAAAAGAAGAAGAAGAAAAGUUUUCAAAAAAAAUUGUAGAAAAAAAAAUAAUACAUAUGUUUAAGUUAUUUUAUUGAACAAUAUAAUUGCUAUAUGUAUAUCAAUAUUUAAAAAUUAAAAUACAUUAUAUUUAUAUUUUUGAAAUAAUUUUGUUGGAAGAUAUUGAUGAUAUUUUUCUAAAAUAAGAAUUUAUUACAAUCUAAUUUUUUCAACGUAAAAAAAAAAAUCUAUAUUUGUAAUAAAUUAAUCAUUGCAUUGAAUUCUAUUUCAUAAUAGAUUAAAAGCCAAUUUCUAAUAGUGAUAAAAAAAUUAAAAUUCUUCUUAUUUGACUUUAAGUCCAUUACUACUUGCAAAAAAUUUAAAUUUUAUCCAAAAAAAUCUAUAUUAAAAAUUCUAAUAAUAUUUAUAAAAAAUUUUAGAAAAAUUUAUCUUAAAUUCUUUUAAUAUAUUUAGAUUCAUUCAUUUUAAAAAUUAAAAAUUAUGAGAAAUUUAUGAGAUAAUACUGCAGCUCAAAGGCCUGCCUUUCUUGGAUGCGAAUCCUGAGCCAUGGAUGAGAAAUUUAACUGUUGGGGAGCAUGCAGAUGCCAAGCCACAAGUUGUUACCCUUGGUGAAGUGGAAAAGGUUGCCCGCCUUGUAGAUGUCCUGAGAAACACCACGCACAAUGGUUUCCCGGUUGUAGAUGAAGGGCUGGAGCCACCGGUUGGUCUGGUCAUAGGAGCAACUGAACUGCAUGGAAUUGUGCUAAGAGCACACCUUGUUAAACUGCUGAAGAAGAAGUGGUUCCUGCCAGAGAGAAGGAGAAGAGAGUGGGAAGUGACAGGGAAAUUUACCCAGCUAAAUCAUUUUUUUAUUCUUUUCUUUUUUUGUGCAUACAAUGAUAACAAUGGCCUUCUUGUGAGAGAAACUACAGUUUUGAGGUAAAUAUGACUAACCUGAUUGUUUCCUUCACUUACAGGUGUCUCCAGUAGUUGGGAUCUUGACCAGGCAGGAUUUGAGAACCUACAACAAGUUGACAGCCUUUCCUCAUCUAGCCAAAUCCAAGGAAAGGGAUAAGGGAAACUGAGCAGCUUUUACGGAGCAUUAUCUUAAUUUAUUUUUCAAUAUUAUUGUAGAAUUUUGUUCAUUCAAAUUAUUGUUGUUUACAAGUCAUUCAGUCAGUAAUAAACAACAAGUUCCUUUUUCACAACACUAGAAAAACAGAAAUUGAUUCUUGGUAUUUCUUCUGUAGUAAAAUAUUGAAAGAAUCCUUCAUUCCUUUUGCUCUGCCACAACCUAACCUCUAGUCCCGUUGAUCGUUUUUCAGCUCCAACGCCACAUCAGUAACUAAAAUAUUCCUCACAAGGGUUUCUUCUUCCUCUUUCCUGACUUCUUUUUCUUGAGACCUACUCCUGGGCCCCUUUUGAACACAGCCAAAACCUCGCUCGAUGCUGCAAUCAUAGCCAAACAUCAUUUAUAAUAGUUAAUAAGCAAACAAAGGAAUGAAUGUAAUGUGCAUAUCAUGGCAUACAUCAGAACUAACAUGUAUUCACUUUAAGUUGCUCAAGUCAAUCAGGUAGUUAUUUUCCAUUAAGAACCAAGUAUGCCAGUACUGGAACAACAAAAAGUUAAGGGAUAAAGUUUAAAUUGCGUAAUGCAAUUUUAUGCACCUGUAUCAUGUAUGGCAUAAAUUCAAAUUUCUAGUACAUAUUCCCCUUUACCCUAAACGCAGUGAAAUAGAUUCUUUCUUCUGGAAAUUGCUAUAUGCCUAUGUUAGGAUGACAAAUCAGUAAAUCAUCAAAUAAUGAAGGCAUUUAGUUAAUCCAAGAAGUUCCCAAGAGAAAAUUUCAUAGACAGUCUACAACUGAAAAUAUGUUCAAAGCCACCUUAGUGUAAGAGACAAGCUUGAUGCCCACUCAUAUNNNNNNNNNNNNNNNNNNNNNNNNNNNNNNNNNNNNNNNNNNNNNNNNNNNNNNNNNNNNNNNNNNNNNNNNNNNNNNNNNNNNNNNNNNNNNNNNNNNNAAUCACAUGACAAAUAUCCAAGAUCUCUUUAGAGAACUUGAUAGAACAACUAUUUCCAAAGUCAGAAUUGGAAAUGGUGAGUAUAUUCCAGUGAAGGGCAAAGGAACGGUUGCUAUCGAAAGCCAAACAGGUUUGAAACUCAUUUAUGAUGUUUUGUUUGUGCCUGACAUUGACCAAAACUUACUCAGUGUUGGACAGCUCGUUGAGAAAGAAUUUAAAGUUUAUUUUGAAGAUAGGAAUUGCAUUAUCAAGGAUGCUGAAGGCAAAGAGGUGUUCAACAUAAAAAUGAAGGGCAAAAGUUUUGCCUUGAAUUUACUGGAAGAUGAGCAUACUGCUAUUUUACAACAAGAUAGCACAACAAUGUUUUGGGACAGAAGGGUCGAGCACUUUCAUCAUGAUGAUGUGCUCUACAUGAAGAAAAAUCAAAUAGUUGAAGGACUUCCUGACUUAGAAAAAGAUCUUCCUAUAUGUGCUACUUGUCAAUAUGGGAAGCAAACUAAACUUCCCUUUCCAAAGAAAAUAUCCUAGAGAGCAACCCAAAAACUGCAACUGGUGCAUACUGAUGUUGGUGGAUCUCAAAAAAUGUCAUCCUUGAAAUGGAAUGCAAACAAUGUUUGGUGGAUCUCAAAAAAUGCCAUCCUUGAAAUGGAAUGCAAACAAUUUUGGGCUAAAACUGCAAGUAGAGCAGUAUAUUUUCUGAACAUAUUGCCAACAAAAAUGUUAAAGAAGCAGACCCCUUUCGAAGUUUGGUUUGAGUGUCUAUGUGCAAGACUUGGAGUUUGCAUCUACGAAGUCAAGGAGGAGUGUUGAAUUUUGACUUAGUAUUUGCUGGAAUUUGAAUUUUGAAUAUUGCAGCUGGAGUCUUGCACAAAAUCUGCAACAUCUAGAUAUUUUCUUAUUUUUAUUUGGUCAAGAUUUGGUUUCUAUUUUAUAGGAAGUAGUUGUUCAUCAUCUAGUAGCUUGAUUUUCUGCUAUUCUAAUGUCAUUUAAGUUACAAGUUCAUGUAUAAAUUCAGCAUUCUUCAAUCAAUAAAAUAAGUUCCAGCAGCCCAAAAUAUAUUUUUUGUAUAAGUAUUUAAUCUUAUACCAACACCAACACCUACACCUUUCUUGUCAGACGGGCUACAUUCAGUGCCACAGCCAGAAGGAGCCUAUCUUUCAUUUUGUUGACAAAGCGAAAAUAAGCAUAUCUCCAUGACUUCUUGAUCACUAAUGUGCCACAAACUCCCCAGAGUCCUAUGAUGAAUCCCAGUCCCAUGCUAACAAAGAACCAUGGCAACUCAGAGUCAUCUCCAUCUUCAUCAUCUUUGUCUUCUCCUUUCCCAGUUGGAAUUGUUCCAUUGUUGUCAUGACACUCGUUUGUUAGAGGAAAUCCACAAAGUGCGAGGUUUCCCUGGUAAAUAGACGGAUCAAUCAAGGUUUGAAACUGGUUGCCUGUUGGGAUUUUCCCUGACAAGUUAUUGUGUGACAGAUUCAGGUGAACCAAAAAGGUUAUGGAAGCCAUGCUCAUUGGAAUUGGACCAGAAAGUUUGUUUCUUGAUAGGUCGAGAGUCUCCAACCACUGCAAGUUUCCAAUCUUUUCACGUAUAGUUCCCCCCAAAUUAUUGCUGGACAAAUUCAAGGUUCCCAGUUUCAGAAGGCUUGUUAGUUCU
rnacentral:lncRNA from 1 species